rnacentral:lncRNA from 1 species
UAAAACUGAUUUCUAUCCAAUCAAUAUAUAAUCUUUUUUAUUUAAAUUUGAUUAGUAGAGGGUUGUUUAGCCAUUUUUAUAUAUUAUACAAUAUAAUUCCAAGAUUAAACAACUAGAUUUAUGGAAACAAAAUUAAAUCAUUGAUUGACUAUUAACUAUUUCACGUCUUCUCCCUUUCAUAUCUAAAGCUCCAGCGAAUCCUAGACUUGAUUCAUGCAACCAUCUUGUUCAAUUCACCAGGCUGUGAAAACACAAAGAUCAAAAGGAGAAGGGGAUUGCUCAGAUGUCGGCGCCACCAAAACAUCACUCGCUUCUUCAAAGUCUCACAAAUUCGAUUAAUUCGCAGCUUCAUCUUCUAUGGAUCAUCUUUGAUUUUUUGGAUCUAUCAUCCUUCGCUCAUUGAAAUCUACAAGCGUUGAUAUUCCAGGUGCGUUUUUUCCGAUCAUUUGAUUUUUCUAUCUGAAAAAGUAUCUGAGUCUCUUUCAUUCUUUCUGUCGCUACUAUCAACACAUCAAGCAUGUAUCUCCUUCAUUUUCAUUCUUUAAUUGUUUGAUGUAUUUGCUUGUGUAUCUCAUCAGCCUUAAAUAAAAUCAAAGAAUGGUAAAAAAUGGCGAACAAGAGUAUCUUGUUGUAUGUUUCUGUAGAGAUGUUGCAUGGGGAUUGAACUGAAAACAAGACCUUCAUGUAUGCUAAUGUUGAUUAUGUCUCUGCUUCUGUUGAUUGGAGACAUGACUAAAAUUUCAUUUUUUUGACUUAAGAAUGCUCUGGUGGUGUCAAUUGAUAGGCAUGAGGAUGUACCAAGAAAUAAUAACAAAGCACUAAUGAAAAUUGUAGCUAACCAACCUAUUUCUAUUGCCAUUGAUGUUGGAGAUCCAGAUUUCCAGUUGUAUUCGGAGGUAAAAACUUGAACAAAUCAACAUAAACAAGUUUCUUGAUGUUUUAAGGAACAUAUUUCAAUCAAAUUUAUUAAAGGUCUUUAUGAAUAAAUCAUUUGAAUUUGAAAGAAUGUAUUUUGGUCAAAGAAUUGAAAUACAUAUACGGGUUUUUCAUGCACAGAUUCUUGAAGCUUGAAAGAUCAUAAAUCAAUCAAAGAAUUCAAAUGUAAAACUACAAAUUCUUAUACAAAUUUUAAGAGCAUAUAUCAGUAAAAUAACUUAAAGGUAAAGAUGAGGUUUCAUUAUGCACGCACAAAUUCUUGAACCUUUGAAGAACAUAAAUUAACCAAAAACAAAAAUUGAAAACAUUGUUUUUCGGUGAUGUAACAUGGAGUUUUUACUAGAAAGUGUGGAUAGUGAAGAACUCAUAGGGAGCAUAAUGGGAAGAAAUUGAUACAUUAGAAUGCAAAAAGGAAUAUGUGAUAAAAGAGGAAUUUUGUAGCAUAGCACCGGAAUAGUUAGAAUUGAUAGAUUCUUCAUUGUUAGAAUUCUUUGAUUCUCAAGAUAAUAUUAGAUUGUUUAAAUAAUGUUUACAAAUUUGGAAUUAAUUGUAAUUACUUUUUAUAUUUACCGGAAUAUCUUUUAUUUCUUCAAAGAAUGUUUAUGUUAUCACAACAUUCAUAAAUUUACAUUUUCAAUUUUUAUAUUAUUACUGGAAUGUUUCAUAAAAAAUAACUUUUUAUUGUAAAUAACAAUAAUAAAUUUGUUUCCUAAAAAUUUAAAAUUCAUUAUGUUGUUUCCUUAAAAAAAAGAUACACAAAAUAUCUAAAUUACCCCAAGACAUUUUGAAAUUUGAAAUCUUUAAAAUAAUAAUAAUAAAUGUAAAAAUAUACUUUCACGAAAGAUUUUAUUUUUCACUGAUCCAAUGCUAAGAUUUAGUUACACAGUUACACAAUAGAUGUUAGNNNNNNNNNNNNNNNNNNNNNNNNNNNNNNNNNNNNNNNNNNNNNNNNNNNNNNNNNNNNNNNNNNNNNNNNNNNNNNNNNNNNNNNNNNNNNNNNNNNNNNNNNNNNNNNNNNNNNNNNNNNNNNNNNNNNNNNNNNNNNNNNNNNNNNNNNNNNNNNNNNNNNNNNNNNNNNNNNNNNNNNNNNNNNNNNNNNNNNNNNNNNNNNNNNNNNNNNNNNNNNNNNNNNNNNNNNNNNNNNNNNNNNNNNNNNNNNNNNNNNNNNNNNNNNNNNNNNGGUUCAAAUGAGAACCACAAAAAAUUAAGAACCUUAAGAACCCUCUUUUAAUAAGUAAAUAUGUAUUGUGAAUAUUAUGUUUAAAUUUUUAUUUUUGACUUUUUGAUAAGAAAAGUGCAUAAUCGUGAUUUUUUAGUCUAAUAUUUUAAUUAAUACGUUCAUUCAUAUUUUAAUACAAAACUUAUAUAAACACAAGUUUAUACAGUCCAAUUUACAGUUUAAUAUAAAAAAUUCACAACUUAAUACAACCAUUUUUACAAUAAUUCUCAAAUUCUGGAAAAUCAAACUCAAACUCUACCACCACCACAACCACCACAUGACGCCACUAACCACAUCUACCAACAUUUCAGCAAUUCUUUUUUUUUUUUCAAGUGAGGUAUGUAUAUAAAGUCAUGCAAAAACAUGUUAAAUACUACAUUCACAGUUUAAUAAACUGAUUAAUUCACCUAUUAAUGCAAAAUAAAUAUAAAUAUUAAUUCAUUCUUACAUACUUAUACAACACAAAAAAUAAAUCUAUUCACAAGAAAUUAAUACAGAAAUUCUUACAUAAGUCAUUUAUUUUUAACACAAAAAUUGCAAUAUGCAGCCAAUUCACAAUUUAAUAUAGUCAAUUAUCGUUUAAUAUAUAAAAUUCAAAGCUUUAUAUAAUUAAUUAACAAUUUAAUACACAAAAAUGUCAUAUUCUUAACUUAAAACUUAUAUUUAUAACUUUAGGUCUAAGGGUUGGUGUUUUUUCAAAGUUUAAUUUACACAAUAUUCACAAUUUAAAUUUAAUAUAAUUUAUUUAAAAUUACAGAAAAUCAUAUAUAUGUAUAAUGAUUCUUUCUUCACAUAUGUCAAAAGUAAAAACUAAAUUCAUAAAAAAUUCACGACUUAAUAUAGUUAAUUCAUAUCUUAAUACAACCACUUCAUAGUUUAAUAUACAAAUUUCACAACUUAAAAUAAUAAUUCAAGGUUUAAUACUUAAAAAAUUAUAUAUGCACAACUAUAUUCUUUAACUUAAAACUAACAUUUAUAUGUUCAUAUCUAGAGGGAUUUUAUCUAUUAAAUUGUGAAUUUAUUAUACUAAGUUGUGAAUAAAUUUACAGUUUAAUACAACAAAUUCACAGUUUAAUACAAUAUAUUCAUAACUUAUUUACAAGUAUAAUCUCAUAUUUCAGUGUACAAACAAGUAAUUUAUAGUUUUAUAGAUACAUAAAUUAUGUAAUACUUCAGAAGCAAACAUCAAAAGAAAAACAUUUGCAUAAAUCAUAAAAGAGGAUAACUUAUCUGAAAUCAACGAAGACCAUGAGUGAGAAAUAUAACAUCUACCACCACCAUCAACACUGCCAACUACCGUACACUACCAUCAACCAUUGCCACCACCAAGCGUCAAUGCCAACACCGCCAACAUCCUUCCCUAAAAUAUAAGAUCCAAAUGAAAAAAAAUCAGAAUUCACAGUUUAAUUCAACAUUUCAGACACUAAUUGACAACUUAAUUCAAUAUUUUUGACACUAAUUCACAACUUAGUGCAUAAGAAAAUGCAUAUUCACAACUUAAUAACUUACAUUUUCACAAAUUAAUGCAUAAAAACACAUAUUCACAAUUUAAUACACUAAAUUCACAACUCAUUAUAGGUAUAAAAUUCAGAUCUAGAUUAAAAAAAACCAGAAUUCACAGUUUACUACAACAUUUCAAACACUAAUUCAAAGCUUAAUUCAAUAUUUUAGACACUAUUUCACAAAUUAAUGCGUCAAAAAAUCAGAAUUCGUAGUACAAUACAUAAUAUAAACACCAAUUCAUAUCUUAAUACAAAAUUUUAAACAUUUAUUCAUAACUUAAAAACCUAUAGAUUUCGUUAAGGCAUUUCAUCACUCACCUUUUGUGCACAUUGUUUCGAGAUUUGAGGUGAUUUACAUCGUUGAGAUUGUCAUGCUCCUUCGAGUCAAUACCGUCACUUCACAAUUUAAUUAGUCAAUUCAUAGUUUAAUACAUAAAAUUCACAAUUUAAUAUACAAAAUUAUAUAUUUAUAUUUCUCAACUUAAAACUUAUAGUUUAAAACAUUCAUUUAUGGUUUAAUAGAGUAGUUCAAGGCUCUUCAUAUAAUUCAUAAUACAUGUUCGAAACUAUCAUUCACAGUUUAAUAUUUAUCUUUAAAAUCGACAUAAUUAAUCUUAUAUUAAAAACUCAUUUAUUAUACAUUUAUAUAUUUAUGGAGCUUACCGUUUAUUGUAUAAUUAUUAAUAACUAUUUCUUAAAUUCUACAUAACUAAUCCUACAUCAAAAAAUCAUUUAUGUUAUAUUUAUAUAUUUAUGGAAGUUGUCGUUACAUAAAAAUGGUGUAUAAUUAUUUAUAAGAUUCCUAGUUUGAUAUGUCAUACUAAUUAAAUAUAAACAAUGGAAAAAACUAAUUAAAUCUAAAAAAUUGGAGAGUAUACCUCAUUAUGAUGUUUUGUCUUCACUGGCUCCAUCACAACAAGAAAUAUAGAAAAUAGCUAAUAACUAUUCAUAUCUAGAUAUGUCAGCCAAUUGUCGCACGCCUAACAUCCAAUCACCCAUGCGCACACAUACAUCAUGUGAUACAUCAUCUUAAACUGUUCAAAAUGUCUCCAUAACAUUACCAGAGAGUAAUUUCGAGCUCUCACUUCUCACAAAUCUCCAUUUUAUUUUUAACGAUAAUCGUUGAAUAACACAUAAAAUACUCGUCGAAACGGGUCUUUGUCGGAACUCGUGACCAAACAACACACUUGUUCAUGUUGAACUCAUCGGAAAGCCUAAACAGCAGUCGGAACAUCUCGUUGGAAGACGUCAACGGAAAAAACAUCGCUUACUUAGAUGUGUUUUGCACUUCGUCGUUGUUGCUGAUAGUUUAAACGAAAUAGAUAACGGAGGAGCCGACGACGGAGGAGACGAAGACGGAAGAAAUCGUCGGAGGAGAAGACGAGGAAGAGAUCUGUUAGAAAUCGUAGAUCUCGUUCGUCAGAGCUUCUAGAUCUGGUCUCGCCGAUAAGAAGAGGAGGAGGUGAUGUAGGUGACGUGGAGGAGUUUCACUGGAGCCGAUGGACAUCAGUGGUGGCGGCGGCAGAUAAAGGCAAUGGUGGUGUUCGCCGGUGUUAGAGCUUGAACAUGUCAUAUCUGAUAUAGAUUUAGUUGUUUCUCACCUGAGAUCAUGGAGGUGCUGUUAUUCGUGAUCGUUGCAGAGCAUCAUCGAGAAGCAUAUGAAGUGGCGGUGGUCGGGAAAUCAUAGAUCUCAGAUCUAGUGCAACAGUGACCGGAAAAUCGUAGAUCUAGAGGCUACCGGAAAAUCAUAAAGUUGGACAUCGAGAGUGGUGGGGGCGGUGGUAGAACAAAGACAGUGGAGAGAGGUGAUGGCGGUCUUCCGACAGUGGUUCUCUGCUGGUGGCGGUAGUGAUAAAGGCGGUAGACGGAGGUGAUAAAGACGGUAGGUGGUGGUGAUGGAGGCGAUGGUGGUGGUGCUAAUAAGUAGUGUGUGUUCUUCAAAAAAUUGUGUAAGAUUUUGAAAGGAUCUGAUAGAUCCGAUUUUAAAACGUAGUUUUUGUUAAAAUGUAGCUUCUGUGUGUUUUUUUAUUUUUAUAUUAAAUAGACAAAAGUAUCUUUAAUGGUUCGUAAGUUGUUUACUUUUAAUAGGUUGUUUAAUUUUAAUAGUUGUGAUUUUAACCUUUACCUUUNNNNNNNNNNNNNNNNNNNNNNNNNNNNNNNNNNNNNNNNNNNNNNNNNNNNNNNNNNNNNNNNNNNNNNNNNNNNNNNNNNNNNNNNNNNNNNNNNNNNNNNNNNNNNNNNNNNNNNNNNNNNNNNNNNNNNNNNNNNNNNNNNNNNNNNNNNNNNNNNNNNNNNNNNNNNNNNNNNNNNNNNNNNNNNNNNNNNNNNNNNNNNNNNNNNNNNNNNNNNNNNNNNNNNNNNNNNNNNNNNNNNNNNNNNNNNNNNNNNNNNNNNNNNNNNNNNNNNNNNNNNNNNNNNNNNNNNNNNNNNNNNNNNNNNNNNNNNNNNNNNNNNNNNNNNNNNNNNNNNNNNNNNNNNNNNNNNNNNNNNNNNNNNNNNNNNNNNNNNNNNNNNNNNNNNNNNNNNNNNNNNNNNNNNNNNNNNNNNNNNNNNNNNNNNNNNNNNNNNNNNNNNNNNNNNNNNNNNNNNNNNNNNNNNNNNNNNNNNNNNNNNNNNNNNNNNNNNNNNNNNNNNNNNNNNNNNNNNNNNNNNNNNNNNNNNNNNNNNNNNNNNNNNNNNNNNNNNNNNNNNNNNNNNNNNNNNNNNNNNNNNNNNNNNNNNNNNNNNNNNNNNNNNNNNNNNNNNNNNNNNNNNNNNNNNNNNNNNNNNNNNNNNNNNNNNAUAUUGAAAGAUUAUUUCACAACCAUUAUUUAUAUUCUCAUAAUACGAACUUAAAUAUUAUUUAUUCACCAAUAAUAUUUUUUAUACAUUAUUCUUAUGCGGGUGUACCGAAUUAUGCAUACCGAGUUAUGCCGGCGUUAAAACUUACAACCAAAAAGAAACUUCUAGUUAAUCAUUUUUUUUUCUUUUGUCAUGUGUAUGAAGUUGCCUUCCCAAUAACCGAUCCCCCAUUUUUUUUUCUUACUCCUCACAUCUAGAAAAUGGUUUUGGUCCCUCAUUGGAAUAAAGAAGAUAUAGGCUGAUUUUAAUUAUAAAGGUGGCUGCCAAAUUUUUUUUAUUCAUGUUGGGUCUCCAAGGUGAUAAUAUAAAUAGCUUUUAAUCAUAAAAUUGAACAUUAAAUAUCACCUAAAUGGGUGCCAUAGACACAUAUAUGGUAUGCAAUAAAAAUAACAAAGUGGGAUCUUGAUUGUGAUAUUAUUGGGCUGCAAGUUGCAAUAAUGGACUUGAAACCCUUUUAAAUGGACUGCCAAUAGUCACUUAAAUUGACUGACAUUUGCUCAUUUUUUGACAAAUUUACAUUGCUGGUCACAUGGCUCGUAAUAUGCAUCAAACAUAAUCAAAAGGCAAUCUCCAAUGUUCAGAUUUAAGAUCAAUAAGUUGGGACGACAUGUGUAAAAUAUCAGCUCAAUCUGGUCACAUUUACCUUUCAAUCUAACCAUUAGAUUAAGAUCGUGCAGUGCUAUAAAUCUGCAAAAAAUUAAACUUAAAUGGGUAAAAUGGUUCCAAACAAAUGAUGUAAUGAAACUAUGAACUGCAUGCUAAAUAUAUACGAUAUGUUGCGAAAAAUAUUAAGAAUUGUGAAAAUGAUGCAUAAAAAUCAACUUAUCAAUCUGAUAAAUUUAGGAAGCUGGAAUGAUAAAAAUGUUGAAAACUUGAUUUCAAUGGUGAUAUGGAUUUAAGGUGUUAAUUGAUGAUGAAAUGGGUGUUAGAAUAUUGUUUCUAAUUCCUUAGAUUGAACUUAGUCCGGUAGAAAUCAUUCCCCGUGAGCUGAAAGUUGAUUUGAGUAGAGCUCGUGGACAAAAGGAGUUUUUUUUUUUUUUUUUUUUUUUUUUCAAAACUAAACACCAAAAACCAUUCGGGUUUUGUGCAAUGCAAAAUUUACCCGGUUGUGUAAUUUUUUGUCCAAUAUUAUUCAAUUUUCACAUGUUGAUCAUGAUUCCCAUUCUAAAGGGUUCUAUAGGGCCAUAAUACUUUAUAAAAAGAAUGACAAAGUUUUUUUUGGGAUAUUUGAAGGUUAUGUGUGACCUAAUUUGGUCAUCUCAAAUGAAUUAGCAAUGAUUUCUAUUAAAAAUGGGUGUAGGUGUUCAUUUAGCUUUUGUAUGUAUAGAUAAUUAAAUGUUGGAGGUGUUCAUUAAGCUUUCGGGUGCUAGGAGAGCGUUAUGAAUUAACAACGUACAAUAAUGAGAAUGUGAGUACAUAGUAUUUCGGGCACAUGUCCCCAUAUGACAAUAUAUUUUCACUACAUGAGCUUUUUGGUAUCUCUACCAACUAUUAUAUAUACUUGAUUAUACAUUUUACAAGUAAAUGGUUUUAUGGUGAAUUGACUUUAGAAAAAGGACAUCUUUUAAAAUAUUUAUCACUUUUAUAAUACAUAUUGUUUGGAUAUCAAACCAACAAAUGAAAUUGAUAAAAUAACACAAAUAAUAACAAGUCACUACUACAAUAUACUAAGAUAUAAUAUAGAAUAAGUAGAGUCGAACCACUGUGAUACAAGACUUAUUUUUUUUACCAUAUUUCCACAUGACACAUUAUCAAUUAUUAAAACUGGGGGAUUUCUUAACAUCAAUCAAGAAUUCAAGAAUGAAUUGGUUUAACCCAAUAGAUGAAAGAAAUGGAAUCAAUCUUCCAAACCAACUGUUGUGCUAAGAACCGUUGGGUUAAAUUCGCCACUUGCACAUUUAUGGAAACAUCUCGUACAUGGUGGAACAAUCAUAUACAUGCCUUAGGCGUCGACACAACCUACACAAUUUCCUAGGAGGAGCUCAAGAAAGUGCUUGUGGCAGAAUAUUACCCUAUGGACAAAGUACAAAAACAGGAGGAGAUCUCUAGCAUUGAAUCAUGGAAAGAACCUUGGUCAAGAAGGAUGAUAGUACUAGGACUGGGCACAACACAGGAAUUACGAUGAUAAUUCUAGGGAAAACUUAGGACAACCCUCGCGGAAGAAGCAAUACAACAAGAAAGUUAAUACCGUUGCAACCAUUCCACAAAGGCAAUACAAAGGAAAACUCCCCAACUAUAAGCGGUGCAACUAUCACCAUCUGGGUGAGUGCAAAGAGUUAUUUUGCCAUCAUUGUAACAAGAAUGGACAUACAAAAAGGUACUAUCAAAAUAAACUCUAGGUUAAGUGCGGAUAGAAGCGAUGGAUCCUAUGAAUGUAGCAACCCAUGACAUGUCGAGAAGGAUUGCCCAAAAGUAAAGGAAAUCAAGGAAAAAAAAUGCUCGCGGGAGAGAAUUUGGGAUUAUCAUAAAAAUGCCAUCCAAAAUCCGUUCCUACUAACUAGUACGUUCACUUACCGCAAGUAUAUACAAAAUGCAUUAAUUAAAUAACAAUAGAAUUUUGCAACCAUUAAGCUUGGCCACAUAAAAUAGUCUCAAGGAAAAUAUGUGUGGUAGAAAUAGGUAAAAAUCUAUCUAGACAGGAAGUAUUUGAAGAUUUCACGACAAUACUAGUUGAAACUUCGUCAAGCUUAGUAAAUUAAUGAUAACGACUCCCCCAAACCCCAUCACUCCUAUGUAGAAUUCUAAAUACAAGAUUUCAAAAGAAGGAAAGUAUGCGCCACGGACAACAUGAUUACCUGGCACUAAGUUGCCAAGCAGGAAUUUGGGACCAGGUUAAUAAUUCCCUCUUUGGAAAAACAUCUUAAGACUCAAAAAUCAAGACAAACUAAAAUUUGGAAAUAAAGACCAUUCAAAGAGAUUUUCAGAAGAAUGACCAGUGACACGUUUAGUGUAUAAUUUGGCGAACACUAAACUUCACAUCAAAAGAAAACUUUAGGAAAUCGACACAACCAAUAUAGACUAAGUUAUACUUGGAAAGGUGUCAAAAAUUCAGGAUGUGAGGCAAGCUAAAUCCUAGGUAUAUUGGACUGCCUGAAAUUCUAGUUAGAACUGGUCCGAAAACCUGCUAAAUCAAGAUUUGUAACAACCCGAAGUUGUUCAUAGCCGAAAACCCGUUCUGCCCGUAUAACUCGUCGGAAAUCGAAAUGUCCCGAUAUCGUUUUUGGGCUUAGUUAACUAAAAUAAUAUGUUUAUUAUCAUUCAAUGAGGGUCCAAAUCAUUUAGGAACUCAUGAAAUUAGCCCAAAACAUUUAUUUCAUAAGUUUUAGAAAUAUCCUCGUCGGGUGACGGAAACUCAAUCGGGUGCGACCUAUAGCCUCGUUUAAGGCCGGUAUCGGGUAGAGUUCCACCGUGUCCAAGUUUUAGGAGCUAUAUAAACAUGUUUAAGCACUCAUUUGAAGCUUUUUCCUUCUCUCUCUACUCUCUCUCUCUAACAUCUCUCCUAAAUCCAAAGAUUAAGGGUCCAAAACUCAAUUUUAAGGCCUCAAAUCCUUAAGGUACCUUCCUAGCCUUAAUCUAUAGCAUGUUUGGCUUCCAAAUUUAACAUUUAAUCAUGAAAUGGGACCAAAUAUGUGAUUUUACGGCCCAGGAGGCUUCCUAGGCCGUAAACACCAUUUUGAAGGGUUUUAAGCCCUUAAACUCCUUCCUUAACUCAUUUGGACUUUAGAUAUGGCUAAGGGACUUCAAGAUAUGGACUUAGAACAUUUAAAACUUUGAUUUUGAGUCAUUUGAAGGAGUUUAUGGCCAAGGCAUAAGCUUAGGCCGUAAACUCAUGUAAAUGGGGUUUUUCAUGCCCUUAAACCCUCCGAAAUCACUUCUAUGGCUUAGAUAUGAAUUAUAGGACCUUGGUUUUAGCAUUUGGACACUUGAAACAUGAUUUUUGAGGGAUUUAGAUGAGUUUACGGCCAAGACAUAUGUUUGGGCCGUAAACUCCUCAAAACUUGGCAUUAAUCCAAUUCUAAGGUGUUAGAAAGCCAUCCAACACCACCAAAAGCCUUGGAAUAAAUCAAAGGACCAACCAAAAAUAGUUUAAAGGCCUUACACACAUCAUUUGUGGGAUUUCUAAGAGUUUACGGCCAAGGCUUGUUCUUGGGCCGUAAACUCCAUGAUUCAUGGUGUUAGAAUGCUAACUAAACACCCCUAAAGCCUUUAGAUGAAUUUUAGAAGCCCUUCUAUGCAAGUUUUAGACCUUGAAACACCUUGUAGCACCCUAUAGAAGAGUUUACGGCCAUGAGGGGGGUCUCAUNNNNNNNNNNNNNNNNNNNNNNNNNNNNNNNNNNNNNNNNNNNNNNNNNNNNNNNNNNNNNNNNNNNNNNNNNNNNNNNNNNNNNNNNNNNNNNNNNNNNNNNNNNNNNNNNNNNNNNNNNNNNNNNNNNNNNNNNNNNNNNNNNNNNNNNNNNNNNNNNNNNNNNNNNNNNNNNNNNNNNNNNNNNNNNNNNNNNNNNNNNNNNNNNNNNNNNNNNNNNNNNNNNNNNNNNNNNNNNNNNNNNNNNNNNNNNNNNNNNNNNNNNNNNNNNNNNNNNNNNNNNNNNNNNNNNNNNNNNNNNNNNNNNNNNNNNNNNNNNNNNNNNNNNNNNNNNNNNNNNNNNNNNNNNNNNNNNNNNNNNNNNNNNNNNNNNNNNNNNNNNNUGAAGUCAUUUUGCACCAUAAACCACCCUACCAUGAGUUUACGGCCGUAAACUCAUGGGGAAUGGGUGUUUUAGACCAAAAACUCUUAUAUUAGUUUACUCAUGGGGAGUAAACUCAAGUCCCAAGUCCCUAGUGUCAUUUCACGUCCUUAAACGCCACCCGGGUCCCUCCAAACACUUGUAUCGGAGUGUUUUCGCGACUUGAAGCAAGUGUCCCUAUCAUAUGAAUAAACUAAGUCCUAAUUAGAUACAAAUGUGUAUCUUUACAUUAUAAUUAGGAACCUCGUGUAUUUACAAGCCCCGGAUCAACUCUUAGCAUCCAAAUCGUCAUACUUCUCGUCCGGUGAGUUCAUACCCCUACGCCUUUUUCACUGUUUUUAACUGUUUUCAGGGGGGAAUACAAGCAAACUAUAACUAUUUUCGAAUCAUAACAUUUAUGAGUUUCAAAUAAUAUCUGGCAAACUUAUAAACUCUUUUACUCCUUAUGUAUUAUGUUGAGCAUAAGGAAUGAUUUAUCAAUUUCAACUAAAUGGAUUUUAGUUAGAGUAAAUUACACGAAUGGUCCUUGUGGUUUGGGGUAAUUUGCACGUUUAGUCCCUAACUUAUUUUUUUAACUCGGAAGGUCCCUAUUGUUUGUUUUUGUUACGCGUUUGAUCCCUACUGUUUGUUUUUGUUACAUGUUUGGUCCCUAUCUUACCUAAAAAGACUAUUAUUUAAAUAGGAAAAAAUGAUGGGGUAAGUAAGGUAAGGUGAAGGAUGUGGGAUUGGGGGUGUGUUUAUUUAAAUAAAUAAAUAAAUCAAGGGAAAAAUAAUACUUUUAGGUAAGUCAGGGACCAAGCGUGUAACAAAAACAAACAGUAGGGACCUUCCGAGUUAAAAAAAUAAGUUAGGGACCAAACGCGCAAAUUACCCUAAACCAUAGGGACUAUUCAUGUAAUUUACUCUUUUAGUUAAGAAAAUAACCAAACUAAUCAAAUUAUUAUGAGAAUAAUUUGGGGUUCUAUAAUUAUCUGUAUUAAGUUAUUAGAUAAACUAUGUCUGAUUCAGUUUAUCUCCGUAUCAUUCGAAUGUUUUGCCAGAUAGUUUCGUUGUAUGUAUCUAUUUUCACUGUAUCAUGUCUUAAAGUCUUUGUAUGUUUGUUAUCGUAUGAGAAUCCUGUGAAUAGUUUAAUACUAGCUUGUGAGAUAGUCACUACCCUUUAUGGAUGAUCAAGUAAAUCCUCUCCGGAAGUGUAACCAGAGUCUCCUGGAGGGAGAGCGAGGAAUUUGUGAAUAGAUCUAUUCGGGACUGACAAUCCCACACCUUAACUGCUAGCUACAGUUAGGCGGGCACGCCUGGGGUGACAAAUUCUGUAUAUCGUCCGACGUCUGACUAACGUCAAGGAGGUCUCGUUGUCGUAUCAGUAUGGUUACCCGACUCACAAUACGUAUUAAUAUAAACUUAUUCACAGCUAGGAUUUUGUUUAGAAUCUAUAUCUUGUUCGGGAUGAUAAUCCCAUGGUCUUGUAUCUAUAUCUCGUUCGGGAUGGUAAUCCCAUGGUUUUAUGUCUAUAUCUCGUUCGGGAUGAUAAUCCCAUGAUCUUGUGUCUAUAUCUCGUUCGGGAUGGAAAUCCCAUGGUUUUGAAACUAAAUCUUAUACGGGAUGAUAAUCCCAUGAUUUUAUCAAUCUAUCAUAUAUCUAGUUUCGGGAUAGUGAUCCCAUGGUUUAUCAAGCUAUCUUAUAUCUAUUUUCGGGAUAGUGAUCCCAUGGUCUUUAUCGAAUUAUCUUAUAACUGGUUCGGGAUGUUAGUCCCAAGGUUUUCAAAAUACUUUCUAUUUACAGUUCGUCUAAAUUAUAGUUUUGUAUAUUAAACUAUACUAUGUGUUAUUCAAUAAAUCUUGCAUUUAGGAAAAUAUGGGAUUUUCCUGGGGUUAACUUAUAACUUGUAACAGAACUGUAACGAAAGAUAACUUAACUACUUUACAUAAGAAAAUAUGGGAUUUUCUUGGAUAUCAAACCUUUUCAGAAAACUAAAGGAAACCGAUACAUUUUCACAAAACAAAACCGCUUAUGAACUCACCAGCUUUAUGCUGAUUUUCAAACUGCUUGUAUUCUCAGGUCCAAGUUAGACAGGUACCCGGCGAUAUCUUUUGGUGAAGACGGAGUGCUCCGAAGACUCGUCUCUUUUGUUCAUAUGAUAUAUGUAUAACUUUUGUACAAUUUACUUUUGAACCAAAUGUAAACUUUCAUAUAUAUGUAAUGUAAUGGUUGUUUACUGUGAUUACUAUGUACAUUGGAUUUGAUACACAACAUGGAGUCAACCCCGGGAACGUUUCCGCCUUUGGUUUUCGGGGUGUGACAAGAUUGCCUCAACAAUUCAAUAAUGUAAAUGAUAUUUUCUACCCACCAAUCUCAAGAGUUGCUGUCUGAUAACACUCUUGCCAUCCCUUUCGAUGAAACUCUAAUCAACUCUAACUAGGAAAAGAGCUAAUUCAAGGUAAACUGAAAAAUCGCGUCUUAGAAUGUUUGACUCCGCUUAAUUUCUCGUUUCCAUGUGGAAUUGUAAGCUUGGAAAUAGGAACAAAUCCAAUAGUCUAACCAAUCGCAAGAAUAUAUACGACUUAGGUAUACCGAUUAUAAAAGGACCCUAAGGAAUUAAUUCAUUCAACUAUAAUGAGGGAAACCAUAUUAAUAUUCUGAAAUUAUCAAAGCGUAUGCUUAAAGAUUGCAUAAAAAUAGGAUUCUAUAAUAUUAGAAUGCCAAAUUCGCCUUAUCCCUCGUUCCUUUUUUGGUUGUGGGCAAAAGGUAGAACCUUUAAUCAGAUCACCUACUCAACCUUGAAUUAUAUACGAUUUGCAUACACAAGGCGACUAGAUUAUAACCAUACAAAGAUCAAAUGUAACAAGAUUACCCCCAACUACUCAAUAGUGCCUUUAUACCAGGACUACAAGAUGAAUUUUGGGACAAAAUUCUUUCAACAUGGGAGAAUGUGACGACCGUAAAGAAUUGGUCAACAAUCACAAAUGCAACGAUCAUCGAUAAAACGACCUAAUGUGUAAUGUUUGAUCAUUUUUAAUGAAAAUAGGCAUACAAAAAGUUUUAUUAUUUUAAAAUUAAUAAUAUACUCGGAAAGUAAAUGUUAACGCAAUUCCAGAAAUAUAACAAACGCAAAAUCUGACUUCGUAUGAGGAAGUUAUAACUUUUCCAAGUUUUAAAAUCUACCGCGAACAAGAAUGUGUGUAAUUGUAAAAAGGUAAAGGAAAAUUGAUUGAGAUUUAGCCAAAACAAUGUAAAGGAGAAUCAUAUAACUCCUUAAUAAAAAACCGAUGAAGCAAGGAACACCGUAAACGAAGUCUGUACGAGAGAGUUAUGAGUUUUUAAAGAUCAUUUAGGGUACACCUCUUGCCAAAAUAUGGGCUAAAAAUAAAGUCCAAAUUAGCCAAAACAAUAUAAAGGAAAGUUGUAGUAAUCAUCAAUAACUAUGUGUGGAUAUAAAGAAAGUAAAAAACGGAGCUCGUAUGCAAAAUAUAUGAUUUAUUGAAAAACGAGGAUUUUAUCUAUUAAGGAUGAUGUGGCACAAGCAAAAUGUGCCACAUGGCCACAUGACAUUCAUGGAUUUCCACCGACCAACUGACUUGGAUGAAUGAGUAAUUGACAUGUAGUAGCUCUCAGGUGGAGCCAUAGGCCGAAGCGUGACACGCCCCUAAUAACCACACGACGUGCUCCUUAGAGACCUUACUAUAAAUAGUAAGGUUGCACCUUGUAUUCUGACACCUCAAAUCCCUGUUCUCCCUCUCUUAACCUUCGAUUUGAGAUAUUCCCUUGACCUGAGUGGUCUCGAGACUCCCGACGCCUACAACUAUAACACGAGAAGCAUGUUAAGAUGUGAAGUCAACAUCACCUACAGAAUAGUAAUGUAGUUUGUAGCUAGAUGUUUGAGGCACAAAUUAUGGUAAAGUUUGAAUAUUUUUGUAAUCACUUUCAGAAUUUAUAUUAUCAUAUUUUAUGUUAUACUUUUGUACUAUAAAUUACAGGGUCGGUACCCUAACUCCCGACACCUCAGAGCCCUGAUCUCUCUCUCUUAACCUUUAAACUAAGAUCUUCCCUCGACACAAGUGGUCCUAAGCCUCCUGAAUCCUACAACGAUAACACUAGAAGCCUGUUAGAGCAUGCGUCAAGGGUGCAUUUCACAAGAUAUAAAAGUUGCACACCUAAAAGUCAAGAUGUGAAAUCAACACCACUUAUAGAGUAGUAAUAUAGGUUGUAGCUGGAUCUUUAAGGUGUAGAUUAUGGUAAACUUUGAAUAUUAUUGUAAAAAUUUCAGUAUUUAUACUAUCAUAUUUUAUGUUAUACAUUUGUACCAUUCAAUGUAUGUUUUAAUGACUGUAAUCAACAUGAUGUCGCACAUCUCGACGUUUCUGUCGCCGGUCAGGGGUGUGACAUUUGGUGACCUUCUCCUUCUUCUUAGGUUGUGGGUUUUGGGCAGCUUUCUUACCUUUUCCCUUACCAGCUUGUGGCUUCACUUUGAAGUCUUUACAUGCUUCUUCUUCUUGACUUGUCCUUCCCAUAUCAUGGGCACUUGGGGAUUUCCCUUGGGUUGUUUUUCUCUAUAGGUUUAAGCAUCCCAUGUAACGCAGAGAUAGGCUUAUCCCACCCAUUCAUGCUGUAGUUCAUGAAUAAAGUAUCAUAAGACUUGGGAAAUGAGUUCAAAAUUAAGUGUAUGGCCAAGUCUAGUGGAUAUGGAGAGCCUAAUCUCUCCAAGUGAUCCAUAUAGCUUUUCAUCUUGAGCUCGUGUGCACUUACAUUCCUAGUGUCCCGCACCUUACAACCAUAAAGGGCUAGAAUAGUUUCAAUCCUCUCACUCCUAACUUAUUGACCAAAACAUCUACUUGAGAUGUUCAAUCAUGUCAAAGGCAGUAAAGAGUUCCAAAUCUCACUGAAGAUCAGUAAUCAUGGUGGCAAUCAUGAUGCAAGAAACAUCAAGUGAAUCAUCCACAUGCUUAAGCCAUGCAUCAUGAGCAGCCUUUAGAAUAGUAAGUAAUUCUUCGGGGAUUUGAUUUUCAAGGACAUAGUCUUUCUUUUCUUGUUUCAAAACGAUUCUUAAAUUUCAAAUGCUCAUUGAGUGAUGGUGUGUUAUAGUAGAGGUGGAUCUGUUGGGUCAAAACUAUGGUUUAUACUUUACUUUUCUAGAAAAUGUAUUUUUGUGUCUUGGACCGUAAACAACUUGGUGUUUAUGGUCAAAUACGUGUUUAUGGUUGUGUUUACGACCGUAAAACAAUUCAUAGCCCAUGUUCACCAAGCCCAUGUUUCUUAUGUAUAAAUAUAGGUGUUAGGGGUGACGAAUAGAGUGAUGAACAGAAAAGGAAUGUACGGCCUAGAGAGAGAGAGAAAAAAGUGUGUGUUGUGUGUGAAUCUUGUAUUUGGAUCUACAUUCUAAUCAUCAAAUAAUACAAGAUUCAUCAUCUUCUUCUUCUCGUUUUCUUCUAUUUGAUCUGAUAUCAACCGUUUGAUUGGGAUUCUGCACCAUCAAACGAAUCUGAUUGAUACACAGGCAUUUCAGGGACUUACAAUUGGUAUCAGAGCUUGGAUUGUAUCAGUCAAUUUUGUCAGAUCUGGAGCUUAUUUGAUCUUAUUUUCAAAAUAUUCUUGCGUUUUGGAUAGAUCUCUGAAAAAUAAGGGGGGUUUGUUCUUCGCGUUUUUUCAUAAAAACGGGUUUUUGAUCGAGUUUUGGAGCAAAAAAUGGCAAAAAUCACUGUUUUUGGUCGUAACCUGCGAGGGGGUGGCGGAAUUUGAGGCCAACAGCUAGGGUUUCCAGAGUUCACGGCCCAAGGUUCACGGUCCGAGAUUACGACUCGGAGUUUACAGCCUCGGUUUGCGGUCCUCGGUGGUUUACGGCUCAGCAACGUUUACGGCCUCGUCCUCGCAUCGCUUCUCAGCCUCGCAAUGGAUCUGAAGUUUGUAGCAGCAUCUUCCUUCGUAUAUUAAAAAAGGGGGAACGGAUUUGGGCAUUUUUAAAUUUUAGUUUGACGUUUAAGUUUUAUUUUAGCUUCGAGUUUUUCUUUUAAUGGUUUUUGAGGCCAACAAGGGAAUUGAAGACAUGAAAGAGAAUCGUCAAGAGAUGUGAAAACAAAAUUUCAACAUGUUCAACUACAUUCCCGAAGAAACCCUAGAAGCUCAGCUGCAACGAUUUACCACACUCACUACUGAGAUGAAUAUAGUUGGGAUCUUCUUAACCAAAUCUGAGAUAAACAAAAAGCUACUGGAUUCACUUCCAAAAUCAUGGGAUAUGAACGUAGCUGUCAUCAAGAAGACAAAAGAUCUCAAUCAUCUUAGUCUUGCUGCUGUAAUUGAAGAGUUUGAUGCUUUGAAAUGUGGAAAAACAAUGAGUUCCACAAACAUCCUGGUCAAUGAAGUUUCAUGUACUCUAUCUUGUGAAGAUACGAUUAAAAUUCUUCGUGAACAUAAUGAUUUGCUAAAAAGGGAAGUCAAGGACCUAAAAUACGAAGGAUAUCAACUUAGGAAAGGACAGAAACCCCUGAAGGCUGAAUUAGAAGUAAAAACCAAAGUCUUUAGGAAGCUUCAGGAAGAGUAUAACAACAAGUGUGAAAAUUAUGACUAUAUUAAGAGACAACUUGCUGCUGUAACUAAAGAACUUGACACUUUGAAAAUAAAGUGUGGAAAAACAGAUGUUAGUUUCAAAAAUUAUACUGCGUCAAGUCAGACAAUCUAGUCCUUAUUUGAAACCCAAUUAAAAUUCAAAGAUAAUCAAAACAAGGGUCUAGGGUAUGAUAGUCUUCCUCCACCUUUCAAUUAUAACUAUACAUCCAUCCCUAUGACACAGGAAGAAAUUGACAAGGAGGCACAUCUUCAAUAUAGCAAACCAGCUGGAUUUGUGUCAGGAGGUAUUCAGGUUGAAAAUACUAAUGUUUCUACUUCAUGUGCAGGUAAAGUAGCAGAAGAUGAGAACAAGGAGAACACUACUGAACAAACCAAUGACUCCUUGAACUCAGAAUCUGUUGCUUCGAAUUUUGUUACUCCUAACAAACCUGCCGUUGAGAAAUAUAGGCCUCCAAUUCUAGCGCAACAGAGUGCUUGUUGCAAGUGUGCACGUGGGAUCAAUAAGAGACAAGGCAUGGAUAUGCCACCAGGGGCAGGAAGAGACAACUUCCCAGCGAAGAAAAAGACAUGUUUUCACUGUGAAAACGCCUGGACACAUUGCCAGAAAUUUUCCUAAUCGCGCAUACGUUCCUUACUACGCAAAAGGAUGGCAAAACGCGCCAAGUGGGAGAUACUUUAAAAGAAACCCUUCUAGGUCACGUUCAGACAAUGGUGACUGGAACGCGCAGAAGGCCAAGAAUCAAACCCACCAGGCCAAGAAUCCGAAUCCCAAAGGCAAGAAGGGAAUGUCGGCCGAGAAGCCCAAUCCCAGAGAUGCUCCAUUAAAACAAAGACCGGUUAGGUCAAAGUCAUCUCAACGGACGACAUCAAGAUCAAAAGCAAGUACUAAGCCACCCAUAAAAUCGAAAAAGAAAUGGGUUAAACCCAACUACAAAUGGGUUCUGAAGGCUCAAUCUCCCAAAUCUUCUAACGAUUCUACUAUUUCUACAUCUUCUGUUUGUGAUAAAUAGGAUAUGUUGUGGGAGAGAGUAUCGUGAAAGGAUGAAAAAGGUUGACCCAGUUUCAAAAUGGAUUGGGUUCCAAAGACCAACUAAUCCCGCUCUGUGUCGGAGCAAGUAUAGAGGUAUAUCAUCAGACUUCGGUCUGUUGGGAGUGGCUGUUCCAGGCACAUGAUAGGGGACACCUCUCAAUUAUACAACAUUCAGACCUAUAUUUGAGAUUAUGUGUCAUUUACGGGAAAGGAAAGAAGGGAAUAAAAGAAGGGAUCACAUGGGGUUAGUGCUUAAUGACAUGAGGAAUUUUCGGAUCUGUUCUGAGAUUAUGUGUGCUGUUCUCAGACCUUCUGGAUGCAAAUUCAAUCGGUGAAUUACGAUUUGAUUUUUCUUCUCUAUAUUCCUGAGUUUAUCUUAAUCUGAUUCAUUUCAAAGACAAUUUUUUAUUUUCUUAUAGUUUUUCGUUAGUAGGUAUUGUUUGGGAAGUGAUAUCAAGAAAGUGAUAACGGGCAGUCUAAAACAUGUGUAAAGGACUGAAUCUGAAUUGUCUAGACUCUGUGUUCAAUGUGCUGGUAGGCACGAAGGAUUUGAAAGUGUGGAUUUAGAUAGGAUUGUUUGGACUGACCAUACGACGCUCGGGUAGAUUGAGCAGUGAGAUAAACACGGGAACCUACAUGAUACACUAAAUUAAUACGCAUCUAGAACAAUGGUUCGAAUUUUCCUUGCGUACGGACUUAUGUCGUUAAUUCUGGUUCUGAUAAGGCAACUGGGGGGUUCUGAUAAAGUAGGUCUGUAGGAAAUUAUUUUCUUACUUUCUAUCUGUCAGUCAUAUGUUGCCUCCUCUGCGUGAUCGGAAGANGAUCCGACCUGGAUUGCAACAUAUGCAACUCUAUUUCUACACACCUUCUUAUCUAUGAAACUAUCUUUAUCUGUUAGUCAUAUGUUGUCCCUUUUGCGUGAUCGGAAGAUCCGACCUGGGACACAGCAUAUGCAAAAUUCUACCUCUCAAUCCUUCUAUCCUAGUUAGGCAUAUGUUGUCCCCUCUGCGCGAUUGAAAUAUAUCUGCCCUGGGACACAACAUAUGCACCCAUUUCUAAAUCUGACUUCCUCCUUAAUACUAAUUUACUCUCCUAAAGUAAGGAGUUCUUUGGAAGUUCUUGAUAACCAGGGUAUAUCGGGAAGUGGGGAACAUGUUCUAGUGCAACUAAAAUCGAACCAUUUAGAGGUUGUCUGUAGAUCUCGCUGCUUAAUUUAAGUGGACAACAAUACCCGUGGUCGUCGUCAGCUAAAUGGAUUAUUUAGAAAAGUUUAUCACUAUCCUUCGUGUUUAAGUGUACCACAAUACCGACAAUUGACCAGAUCUAUUCAUGAAGGUGAAGGUUCUGAUAAACAAGUUUAGGCUGACUCACAACUUUGAUCCCAAAUAUUUUUCUUUCUGUUAAAUUUGUUCAUAGUUUUCCUCUAUGCACAAAUUUAGGGGGACAGUUAAAAACAUUAAAAAAAAUCAAAAAAAAAUUCAAAAAUCAAAUAAAAAUCAGAAAUUUUUUUAAAAAAAAUCAAACAAAAAUAAGAAAAUCAAGAAAAAAAAAUAGUGUUAUUUCUGUUUUGUUUCUGUUUUAAGUUUUCUUUUAGUUUUGUUUUGUCUUGGAAAGUGAUUUUAGGUAUAGAUAAGACUCGUGGAGACUUUAUUGAAGAUUUUCUGAGUCAAGGCUUCAUCCGUGAUCAUCGAAGAAUUCUCAUUCGAAGGAGCAAGAAAUGAAGAUUAUUCUUUCAACAUUCAAUUUUUCUACCCCAGAAGCAAGGUGAAGCUGAAAUUGAAGGUUAUGUGACUGAUUGCAUUGAAGCCUCCUCAACCAGUCUGUUGCUAUCUUAAACCUGCUGAAGUGAUCCAGAAGAUUUGUUCUCUCUGAUGUUCUCUCUGAAGAUUCUCAAGCUGCAAGCGCUAUCUUUCAAGAAUCAGUACGUCAAGCCUCCUCACCUAAUGGGCGUUCAAUGUCAAAUUCUACAGAAAAUCUCAAGUGCUCAAGAUGAAGUCAUUCAUUGAAGAUUCAUCAACUUCAUCUUGAAGUUGUGAAGAAUUUAAGAUAAAUGCUGAAGCCAAUCUCCCAAUGAAGAUUAACAAGAAAAGCCAACUACUUUUUAGGGGGAGCUUGUUGGGUCAUUUAGAAAAGAAAGUUAUAAACCAAGGGGGAGAUUGUUGGGUCAAAAAUAUGGUUUAUACUUUACUUUUCUAGAAAAUGUAUUUUUGUGUCUUUGACCGUAAACAGCUUUGUGUUUACGGUUGUGUUUACGGCCGUAAACAGGUUUACGGUCGUAAACCCAUUCACGGCCCAUGUUCACCAAGCCCAUGUUUCUUAUGUAUAAAAUAUAGGUGUUAGGGGUGAGGAAUAGAGUGAUGAACAGAAAAGGAGUGUACGGCCUAGAGAGAGAGAAAAGAGUGUGUGUUGUGUGUGAAUGUUGUAUUUGGAUCUACAUUCUAAUCAUCAAAUAAUACAAAAUUCACCAUCUUCUUCUUCUCCUUUUCUUCUAUUUGAUCUGAUAUCAUUCGUUUGAUUGGGAUUCCGCACCAUCAAACGGAUUUGAUUGAUACACAGGCAUUUUAGGGACUUACAGGAUCCAUCUACAAAAUUUUAACAAAGUCUUUAUUUAGUAUUUAAUUCUUUAAAAUAAUAGCCUUUUGUUUCAUUAAAAAAAUAUUUAUUUAAAGUGAGUUACAAAUUAAAUAAUUGGUUAGGUGAUCUUUAUCACAUUCACAUAAUUUUAUCAAGGUAAAUAGCUUUUAUUAAUUACACCACCUUUAAUUCUUAUAUGUAUAAGACUCUUAAUAGUCCAUUUGUUAAUUUGACAUCUUUUGUCUCAUCUAUGCCUUGAAGCACCCUUGCUUAAGUGACCUUUAUCACAAGAGUUUUCCAAUCAAGUCAUUCAAUUACAUAAACUUGUAUAAUUGGCCUAUAACUUGGUUAUAGAAAUCGCAAAAAUACCUUGGCCACCAAAAGAUAAUACAAAUUGUUAGGUAUCAUUUAUCCCACAAGCAUUAAACAAAUGGUGUGAAAAUAUUUAUAAAGUUGAAUAACAUAGACUUUGUAACAUCCGGAAUUCAGAAGGUCAAGAAAGGAAAUAAAAACCCCAAGUCAAGAAGUCUACUCGUCGAGUCCAGGGAGGAGCUCGACGAGUAGGAGCGCAGUUUGGGUCGCGGGUUAAGCGACCUACUCGACGAUUUGGUGGACCGACUCAACGAGUUGGCCAGGGUUUGGGAAACCCUAAAUUCGGUCCUUGUACCCUAUUUAAAGAACACAAGGCCUCUCACUCAGCCCCUUUACUACCCCCCCCCCCUCAAGCCCAGAAACGAAACCCUAGCCACCCAACUCAAUUUCUUGAGCAUUGUGAAGCUAAAGGUUGUUUUGUGGUGCAUAUCUUGGAAGAUUGGAAGCAAAGAAUGAGGAGGAGAGUUUAGAUCCAACAUCUACUUCAGUUUGGCAGCUAAUACAAGGUAAAAAGUUGUUACCUUGAGCAUUCAUUUGAUAGAUCCCUUCAUUUAGAGCUUCAUUGCCUUUUCUAGCACAUUUGUGGCUUGUGAUUGCACGGAGCACGAUCUGACAUUUGCAACUUCAGAUCUGGGCUCUCCAAGGUCCCUAAUGCAUUAAAAUCUCCAGCUUUUGAGGCUUGAACCCCUCCUCCAUAGCAAAACCCUUCCUUGUAGCUUAGUUAUGGAUUUUGGGAAUUAUUCAUAUGUAAAGGUUGCAACUUUACGUGGAAAACAUGCUCUAGGAGGUUGGAUCUACCUUUGGGAGAAGCUGUUUUGCUUGGAAAUCGUCUGAAUAGAGUUGUACCUUAGGGGACUCGACGAGUUGUUCUUUGGACUCGGCGAUUCGGGUCUUGGUUCCCCUAGUAUUCCUGUUUCAGUGUGAGGUAGUUGAAUCUAUAGGAGGACUCAACCGUUUGGGUUCAUUAUGGACUUGAAGAUCAUCGUACAUGACGAGAUCAAGGAACGAACUCUACGAGUCUAAGGCAAUAUCCCUAACUUAUGAAGAUGGACUCGACGAGUUCAAAAGUGAACUCGGCGAGUCAGUUGAAUAAGGGUCCCGGCGUGCUUUAAGGUGAACUCGACGAGCUCAAGGAAGACUCGCCGAGUAGGAUCGAAGUCCAGAGUUUCGUGUGGAUAGUGGGACUCGAUGAGUUGGUGGGCCAACUCAGCGAGUAGAGUCAACUCGGAGCGUUGACUUUGACCAAUUUUGACCUAGUUUGACUUUUGAGGGUAUUAUGGUCUAAGUGUUGUUUUGGGUAUUAUUAGUUCGGGAAGCUGAAGGAUCAGCAAUUCAGGAGUUUCCGGUUAGCAGUCGGGGGUGUUCAACUAGUCUUCCGUAGUGCAUGGUGCGUUUUCUCUAGUACGAAUGGGUCUAAGGCACCAAUGUCAGCCUGUUUAUGUACGUUAGAGUAUACCGGAUCUAGAUCCGAUGUCGGGGUUAGCCCGAUGCAGUUUAUAUGUUCUGGAUUUUAGUCCGAUAGCAGGCGAGGCCCGAGGAAGGAUCAUAUGUAUAUUUUCUGAGCUAUGGUUCGAUGCCGGGUGGCACCCGAGGCAGUAGUGUAUGUUCAGUUAUACUUGUUGUCUUUGUGAUACUUGUAUGUGUUUGGUAGGGAGAUGAGUGUGGGCGGGGGCACGUAUCUCAUCACUAGUUGAGUGUGGACGGCGUUCCAUAUCUCAUUAGUAACAGAGUAGGGGCGGGGCUUUGCGACUAGCAGUUAUAGUAUUGCAAUUAUAUAAGUAUGCUUAUAUGUUAUUGUUGUAUGAGUGUAGUGGGCGGGGCCUGGUAGAAACAGAUCUGUAUACCGAGCGGAGCUCGAUGCCAGGCGGGGCCUGAUGCUGGAUUCGUUCGAUGUCGGGCGGGGCCCGAUGUAGCGAGUUAGGCUCAAUGUUUGCAGUAUGUGAUUAUGUAUGGUAGGUGGUAAGUUAGGGAAGCUCACUAAGCUUCGUGCUUACAGUUUUCAUUUUUGGUUGCAGGUACUUCCGGUAGCGAAGGGAAGAGCUGGGGAUGACUGCAUGGCACACACCAAGAAGUUUUAGCCUGGGAUGUUUACUCUGAUAAAAGGAAUAUGUUUUGAGAUAAUACUCUGAUUUGAUAUAACCAUUUUUGUUAUGAAUGGAAUGUUUGGAUAACCCAUGGUUUAUAUACUAAAUUAAAAAUGAAAUUUUUGGUCAUGUUUUUGGGAUGUUUCGGACUUGCCUUUCAAAAAGGGAUUUGUAUAUUUUGUUAUUAUAUUUUAAAACAUGAAAUAUCAUGAUAAUUGCAUGCAUAUAAUCAAUCAUGGUAUCAAUUUUCAAAAAAAUCACUUUUAAGGUUCAUAUAAAAUCCAGUAUUUAGUUUUUGAUGCAAUUUAUUUUUAAAAUUAGUAUUAAUAUUAUGUUUGAGUUUGAGCCUUUUAAAACCUUUUAUAUUACUUAAUAAAACUUCCUUUUAUUAUUAAUACUUAGGAGUUUGGAUAAAUUAUAAAAUCAUCAUUUUAGACUUAUAAGUUUAAUAUUUCAAAAUUUGAUGUUAUUAACGUUUUAAUAAAACCGGUUUUUAUUUGAAAGUUAUAACUUGUUACAUUUUAUGUUCAAAUUUUAUAUUUUGAAAACCAAAUUCCAUGUGGUGUCUAUUUUCUUCAAAAGAAUAGUCUGAGUUUAGGAAAAGCUAAAUUAUUAACCACAUAAAAUAUUUACUUGAAAAAUAAACAACACAAACAUGCAUUUGACAUAAACAAACCACGAUCUAGUUGACACUUUUGUGAGCCAACACAAAAGUGCCAAGUCCUUUCCUAAAGGGACAAAAGAGACCAAAUGAUCUUCAUAUGAACUUCAAGUUGACUCCAUGCUACCACUUUCAAUAACAACCAACUUUGUUUCAAUUUUAUAAAACUUAUAUAAAAGUUAUAAACUUUUGUAAAAGUUCCAUAAAACUGUGGGUAUCAUUUUACAUACAAUAAAUCUAGUCUAAAACAAUUCUAUUACAUAAAAUAACAAGAUGAAAAACUCGCUACUUAUUAUUACAUACUUCAUGUAUAAAAUAAUAUUACAAACCAUUUUCAAAAGUCAACAUAAAAUUAAACACAAAUGCUCCAUGGUUUGUUUAUGCACUCUGAAAUACAUAUAAACAUAAAACAAUCUUUGUGCUAAGAGAACUUUAAGUGACAAAAAGUGCAUGUGAUCUCAUUUUUAUACAAAAAAAAAACAAGUUAUCCUUAUUCUCCGAACACUAAGAUAUCCAAAAAUCAUUAAAUCUAUCCAAACUUUCAGGAUGGCUCUUGAUACCAAUUGUUGGGUCUUAGUUCAAAAAUAGUUUCAAAAACAUGAUAUUUUAGCAAUGGAAGACUUGAAUGUUUGAAUAUUUAUAAACAAGUUACAACCCACCAAGGAUCAUCUUGCAAGAAAUGGAAAGUUAAAAUACCAACCAUAGAAGAGAUGAAGAUAUAAUAACCUUUUUUGUUUUUUGAGUCCUCAAGGGGAUGCUUGAAAUUGAUGAAGAAUGUGGAACCUUUGAGAGACCAACAAUGAACCAAUUUGAUGUAAGAUGCUAAUCCUUUUGAUGAAACUCUUAAGCUUGGAGAUAAAAACCAAAGUUCUAUCUUCUAGAAAGAAAGUAAGUAAGAACUCAUUAACACUUUGGAAGAACGAUUUUGGAGAGCAAGUAAGUAAGAACUCCUUUACACUUUGCAAGAACAAUUAUAAAGAGAAAGACAAGGGAGAUACAGUUUUGAUGCAUGCAAGAAUGAGAGAUGAAAUCCUUUGUUUAAAGUGAAAACAUUGUCCAUGAGUGUUUAACCCAUUAAGAACUCAUGCGCCUAGACAUACAUGUCUCCCAUGCUUUCAAGCCACACUAUUUCUUUUGAUUAAACAACUAGAAAAUCCAUGCUCCCCCUAUCUUGCCUAGCCACAGUUCUUGCAAAAAAAAAAAAAAAAAAAAAAAAAAAAAAAAAAAAGAGAAAAGUUUAUAAAUUUUAUAAACUAGUUUAUAAAAGGGAAAACAAUAAAGUCCCUACAUAUUAGCCUCAUAAUCGAUUUAGUCCCUAUAUUUUUUUUUAUUCAAUUAAGUCCCAAAUACCGGUAAUCGUAUUCAAUUUAACCCUUUGACCCGGUCAACAUGUCAUCUAACUUUCAAAAAUUACAUUUUUGGCCCAGAUUUGAAAAGUUAUUACAAAUUUGGUCUAAAAUUUAUACUUUUGGCCCAGAUUUUAAAUUUUCUUACAAAUUUGGUCAAAACUUUACCAUUUUUGCCCAAAUUUUAUAAUUUUAUUUUGAAUUCAUCCUAACUUUAGUGUUUUUUACAACUUUUUUUCUCAAAAAAUUGUUUCUAAUAUGUUUUUUCUUUCUAAAAUCAUAUUUAUACAAAAAAAACGUAUUCUCACAUAAUAAUCUUAUAUUUUCUAUAUAAAAACUUUUUUAGUUAUAAAAAUAUGUAUUUAGUAAGUAUAUAAAUAUAUACAAAUCUGUUUUUAUAAAAAAAUGUAUACAAAAAUGUAUUUUACAAAAAAAUGUAUACAAACACCUAUCGCCUUUAUAUAUAUAUAUAUGUAUAUUAUAAAAUCGAGUUUGUUUAUAUUUUUUUUAUAAAAACGUUUUUGAACAAUAUUUUAUAUAAUACGUGUUUGUAUACAUUUUAUAAGAACGUGUUUAAAAAAGUUUUUAUAUAAUACGUGUUUGUAUAUAUUUUAUAAAAUCGUGUUUUGUAUACAUUUUAUAAAAUGUGUACAAACACGUAUUAUAUAAAAAGUUGUUCAAACACAUUUUUAUAAAAAAGAUGUAAACAAACACAAUUUUAUAAAAAAAAAAUAUAGAUAAAAUAGGUGUUUGUAUACAUUUUCUUUUGUAAAAUAUGUUUUUGUAUACAUUUUUUUUAUAAAAAUGGAUUUGUAUAUAUUUAUAUACUUAAUAAAUACCUAUUUUUAUUACUAGAUAUUUCAUAUAUAAAAAACUUUUUUAAAAAAGUUUUAUAUAGAAAAUAUAAGAUUUUUAGGUGAAAAUACGUUUUUUUUGUAUAAAUAUGAUUUUUAUAAACAAAAAAACAUAUUAGAAACAAUUCUUUGAGAAAAAAAGUUGUAGAAAAAACUAAAGUUAGGAUGAAUUCAUAAUAAAAUUCUAAAAUUUGGGCAAAAGGUUAAAAUUUGGACCAAAUUUGUAACAAAAUUUAAAAUCUAGGCCAAAAGUGUAAAUUUUUGACAAAAUUUGUAAUAAAAUUUGAAAUUUGGGCCAAAAAUGUAAUUUUUGAAAGUUUUGAUGACCUGUUGACCGGGUCAAAGGGUUAAACUGAAUACGAUUACCGCUAUUACAGUUUUCCCUUUAUAAAAUUUAAACUGUAACCUUUUGGUAAGAGACAAAAAGAUUUUCUAAAGCAAAGAGUAUAGAUAGCAAUUCAUUCUCAGUUGCGGAAUAAUUGGCUUGUGCAAAAGCUGGUGUCUUUGAAGCAUAAUAUAUGACAUGAGGAACUCGAUUCUUUCUUUUCCCUAACACUGCACCAACUGCAUGAUUACUAGCAUCACACAUGAUUUCUGUAACACCCGUUUCCUAGAUUGGAUCAGUGGCUGGUAUAAAGGAGUCAAAUGCAUGGUUUUUGAGGAAAACCAUAUGCCAUGACAUGAUAUUAAGGGUGUCACGACGUGGCAUGGAAAUAAAGGAUCACGUGUUUGGGAUGGUUUUCACGACAUGACAAAUGGAGUGGCACGACGUGACAAUAGCUGUAGCCCAAGCCAAUGAUUUUUAAGGUUUCCUCCUUAUUUAAAGCCAUUAACUCAUGAUCUAGGGCACCUUUUUUAGCCUCCAACCCUUCUCAACGAAAACCAAGCCCCAUUUAAUGUUUGUUAGCUUAUUUUAUUGUUUAGAGGCCUUGUUCUUGGUUUAUGGUGAGACUUGAAGAAGAAGGAAUUUCAUUGUGGUGCAAGGAAGCAAGGAGCUAGCUUGGAUCCCUCAUUCCCUUCAGAUUUACGAGUUGUUGGAAGUAUAAAUUUCUCAUCUUCAUCCUUGUUCUUAUUGUUUAAAGUUUGGGCUCAUUUAGAUGUUUUUAGUUGUAACAUCCAAAAAAAUCAUGAUAAAAGUUUUCAAUUUUCAAAACUAUUUUCACAAACCACAAGUCAUAUAAAACAUUGCUUCCAAACAUAACCAUAAAAAUCAGAGUAUCAAAUAACAUCUCUCAAUCAUAAGUCCUAAGGAUGAUGUGUACAAUCAUGCCUUCACCUUGCCCCUAUAAUCUGAUAUACCUAAAGCAUAAAACCAUAUUGUUAACCAAAUCUUAGAGAUUUCCCCUAAAAUACCCAAACAUAACACGAAUACAAUGAAUACACGCAAGGCCUUCAACACAAGGUUGCACCACUACCUUAGCCUUCAACAAUAAGCUGGACCGCUCCUUCGGGCUUACAGUAUCAACUGGACUGCCCGUGUAUCUUGGCCUUCAACACAAAGCAGGGCCACCUCAACCUAACCACAAUAUAUCGACAUAUGCGAACAAUAAACAAGAACUAGCAAGUAUAGGUAAUUAUGCAUAUCUACCAAUCUAACAGAUCGCUAUAGCAUAACAUCUUAUACAUAAAGAUACAUAACACAACCUAGUGGUACAACAUUGGUACCUUUGACCCACGAGUAUAGUGACAAAAACUCACCUCAAAGUCUAGAAGAUAAUUGAACUAAUCAUUGCUCCAAUUACCGGAUCUACGGGUCACCUAAACAACAAACAUGGACCAAGCCUUAGUCUAAAACUCAAAUUACUCCAUUUGGCCUAAGUUAAACUUGGUCAAAUUCAAUGGUCAAUGGUCAAAAAGUUAAAGGUCAACAUUUAGCUGGUAGCCAUGUCGUGGCCAUCCUUGGCAUUGUUGUGGUAGCAAAAUGAUGAAACAUACGAGUUCCUACCUAAUCAUCAUGUCGUGAGAACAUAAGGCCAGACUAUGGGGACUGGUCUGGACAACUUAACCUAUUUAAGCCAUUUUCCUACAACUCUAAGAGCUCCACAGCUCAGAUAUGGACCUUCUAAUGGUCUUGAUGGAUAAAGUUUCCAAAUUUAUCCAUUAACACACCUAAAUAAGACAAGAUCCCAAACCCUAAAUCCUUAAAGGUAGCUAAAGGCAUACAAACACCAUUAAGCACCUAAUCACUAGAGUUACUCUUCCAAAGUUUCUAGAAGGGUUUCCUACAUCUAAUGGACCAUAAAAAUCAUAGCUUUAUGGACAUGCAUGUGUAAUUCAUGUCCUUUCCAUUUUAGGUCAAAAACAUGGCAAUAAGGAACUCAAAUCUUGAGCAUGGGACCAAAACUCCAAAGAUCCUUAGAUCUAGAACACAUGACACUAAGAUGACCACAAGGAUACAUAAAGUUGCCAACUUUAUGGGAUCCAACUUUCCAAAUUCCCACACCAUGAAUAUUAAGGGACAAAAAGGAUAGAUCUAGAUACAAGUAAUAUACAAGUCAGAUCUUGAGGACUUACAAAAAUCCAGAAAACAUGCACAAGGUGGAUAAAGAGAGUUGUUUAUUGGGAAAAAAAAGCUCAAGGGCACCUUCUUCUUCUUCAAAACACCACCAGACACCAUAAAAACUCAAGAGUUAGCAAUGGAGGCUAGGUUUUGUUUUGGGGGGGGGGGGGGGGGGGGGGGGNGAGUGUUUGAGGCUAAGAUUGGGCAACCCUAGCCAUCACAUCCCUUAAAUAGGGGCACAAACCCCAUAUUAGGAUUUUUCAUCAAACAUCAGCCACAUCAUGGAAAAUAUAUCACCACAUCGUGACACUAACUUAGUCUCCAUGCAAUUAUUAACCUUGGCCAUGUGAUGGGACUCCAUCACCAUGUCGUGGCCACCAGAAAUCCAAAAUUUGAAAUAUUAGUUUUUUUAAAAGAGACAUACCCAAAACUUGGCAUUACAUUAGUCCCUUCCAUGAACGAUCUUGGAGUUUGAGGAACUUCAUAACUUGUUGUGACUCUCAAAUGGUCCUUUGGUUUCUUAGAAUUAGAAAGAGUAAUGUGUGGAGCUAUUUUGAGUCCAAUAUCAAGUUAAGGUCAUAUUUAAGGACUUAACGGACCUAGGGUUGUAGAUCUAGCUUUGAGAUGGAUUCCUAAUGGAUAAAGUUGAAGCUUUAUCCAUUAAAUCGGUGAAACAAACUAGAUCUAGAGUUAUGGGUUUUGGUAUGAAGGAAUUAAGCACUUAAUAAAUAUAUUGGCUUUCUUCCAGAAGUUACAACGUGAUAUUGGGUUUGUCACGAUGUGACGAUUCUCAGAGUCGUGACUAUUUCGUUUUUUCCUUCUCACAAUGUGAUACAUGGUGCGCUACGACAUGACGUUGAAUAUUGACUUGGUUGACUAUUGUUUUUAUGGACAUUUGGUCGUUGACUUUUGACCAGUUUGACUUGGGGUCAAACUUGGAGGAUUUAGGUUGUUAAUUGAGGAUUCAUUUCUUUUGGUGAUUAUUCCAUUCGUGGGAUUUAGAAAUGAAAGGUGUAAGAUUGUUGUUGGGCUUCUUUGAUUCAUCAGUUCAAGGGAGUUUCUCAGUAUGCCACAUAUCCUAUUGUAUGUCCUUUUCAUGGUAGGAUAGAGGAACUGUUAGAGUACAAGUAUGCUAGUGGCCUAGGGAAGGUCCUUGAUAUUCCUUGUAUUUUAGAGACUCGGUGAUUUUGUAUGCUAGACUAUUAGGUUGUUGACUAUUGAUCAUAUGAUUUAGUUUAGAGGUAUGUUUGUCAAGGUAACUAGGGAAUUCUAGUUUACAUGAGAAUGUAGUAUGUUAGUAAUGCAUGUGCUUAUGCUAUAUGGUUAUGUGGAAGUGAUAGCUUGGGUCAUAUGUAGUCUAAGCUAGAUAGCUUGAGAAGUCUUGGUCUAAUGCUUGUUUAUGAUGUGCUUGUCUAAUUGUUCCCUCUCGGGUGGAUCAUGUUUUUUACUGUCUAUAUAACCCAUGGCUACUUACAACUUUAUGUCGUGUAUGAAGACCAUGAGGUGACUCCUGGCAGUGGAGGUUGGGCGGGCCCGUUUACACCAUUGGCGCGGCGCGUUAUGCAUAGUUAGUUGGGGCUUGUUAUGUAUGCUUGGGCGGGACCCUUUAUAUUGAGUGGGGCCCAUUAUGUACAUUUGGGUGAGGCCCAUUAUGUGUUUUGGUUUGGGCCUGAUAUAUAGGAUGCAUGUAUGUGGUUAGGAGAUUUGAUUGCUCCAAGUUGGAGACGAGAUCUUUUGUGUAUGUUAUUGUAUGUAUGAUGGAAUAUGUGUUAUAUUGGGGAACUCACUAAGCUUUAUGUUUAUAGUUGUGGAUUAAACAUUUUGCAGGUCGAUCGUGAGAACAGCUCGGCGUGACUAUACACACGUAUUGGAGAUAUUCAUUUCCGUGAUUUUGCAAACUUAAAUAUGGUAAUGUAUGGUUUCAAACAAACAAAUGUUACUCAAUCGUUUUGGAAGCAAAGGUUCAACCGGUUUAUUUAUUUUGAAAAAGAAAAAUCUCUUUGUAAUUUAUGGGACAUUACAAUUUCAAAUGGUAAACUCCAAUCCAGUGAUUGAAGUAUUGGUGUUGUGAUUAACAACUCCUUCAAUGAUCAAAAUCUUGCUUGCACUCCUUCAAAAAAUUCAAAUUUUGCAUCUUUUUGUAAGAGUUCACACAUAGGAUGAGCUAUUUUAGAGAAGUCCUUGAUGAAUCUUCGAUAACAACCUGCAUGGUAUCAAUUUUUUAUUUAUCUACCUCAAGACCCUUUGAAUACACAACACGACUAAGUACGAGACCUUUAUCAGCCAUAAAAUGACACUUUUCAUAAUUCAAAACAAGGUUGUCUUGAUACAUCUUGUCAAAUUCUUAUUUAAAUUUUGCAAACAUUCUUUGAAUGAAUUACCAUAAACAGUGAAUUCGUCCAUAAACACUUCAAUGAUUCCUCAACAUACUCUAAAAAGAUACUUACCAUGCAUCUUGGAAAAGUGGUGGGGGCAUUGAAAUUCCUAAAAGGCAUCCGCCUAUAUGAAAAUGUUCUGAAAGGGCAUGUGAAAGUGGUAUUUUCUUGAUCCUCGGGUGCAACAAGUAUUUAAUGAAAACCAAAAUACCCAUCCAAAAAACAAUAAUGUGAUUUUCCCGCUAAGCUUUCCAACAUUUGGUUGAUAAAAGGAAGUGGCAAAUGGUCUUUUUGGGUUAAGGCAUUGAGUCUUCUAUAGUCUAUGCAAAGUCUCCACCCGUUUUUCACACAGGUGUGGACUAAUUCACCGUAUUCAUUCGUGAUAACAGUAAUACCUAUCGUCUUGGGUACAAAAUGGACUAGACUUAUCCAUUUACUAUCCGAUAUGGGAUAGAGCAUUCCAACAUUCAAAAAUUUAAAAAUUUCUUUCUUCAUAACCUCCAUCAUUGGAGGAUUCAAACGCCUUUGAGCUUCUCGGGAAGGCUUGUAAUCUUCUUACAUAAAGAUUUUAUGCAUGCAAAGUGAAGGACAUAGCCCUUUGAUGUUGGCUAUAGUCCACCUGAUAUAUUCCUUAUAUUGCUUCAAAGUGAGGACAAGCUCUUCUUAUUCCUUGGUUGUCAAUUUGGUGGAGAUGAUUACGAGUAGAGUCUUUUUUUCUCCAAGAUAAGCAUACUUGCGAUGCUCCAGUAAAGUAUUGAGUUCCAUAUUGGGUGCUUGCAUAAUAUAUGGUAUAAGUUUCUCAUUGAGCAUUGACAAUUUCAGCUUUGGAACAUCAAAACUCAUUUUCUUCUUUUGAUCCAUGCACGGUACAACUUCAAUCAUCUCUUCAAUGAUCUUGAACUUUUUGGAAAGUUUCUCUAAUGCAUCCUUUUGAAUAUUCUUGUCUAUGACUAAAGCUAACACAUCGACAUUAGACAAAUCAAAACACUAUUUAGUUAAUGGUUCAAUGAAAUCCAUAAAUUUUAAAGACGAUACAUCACUUGGAUAUCAUAUGACAUUAUAAAUGUUAAAUUUUAUCACAUCUCCAUCAAAUUCCAUGAACAAUGUACCAUUAAAAUCAACAAUUUGUGUUUUGGUUGUUUACAAAAAGGAACUUCCUAAAAGGAUAGAACUAAAACUUGGUGCAUUAUCAUCAUCCAUUUCAAGAACAUAAAAUUCUGAUGGAAAUACUAGUUCAUUCACUUGCACUAACACAUCUUCUAUCACACCUUUUGGAUAUACUAAAGAACAGUCAUCUAACUAGAUGAUCACCCCGGUCUUCUUCAAUGUUCUAAUGUUUAAAGUUUUAAAAAUGGAAUAAGGCAAAGAAUUGAUAGAAGUGACAAGGUAUAUCAUGGCUCAUGCAACAUAUAGGUUGCCCAACUUGCAAGGAACCGUGAAAACACCUGAAUCCUUCCAUUUUUGAGGUAAUGUUUUUUGUAACACUACAGAUACAUUCUCACUUAAUUUGAUAGUUUCAUUCCCUUUUAAAUUUUUCUUAGAUAUUCACAAUUCUUUAAGGAAUUUAUAAUACCUAGGAACCUGAUAUAUGACAUGGAUAAGUGGAAUAUAUACCUUAACUUUUCUAAACAUCUCCAUGAUUUCAUUAUCUUCACUCUCACACUUUGACUUGCCAAACAUUCGAGAAUAGGGAGGAGGAAUAAAUUUCACUUCAACUAGUAUUUAAUUUGAAGGAACUCUUGACUUCUUAUAUUCUUUCUCUAACUACAUCUCUUCUUCUUCCUCAAAUAUACUUGGACCGUCAUACUUUUUAUCAUUCCUCAAAGUGAUAUCACAUGCAUUAUGCUUUGGAUUCUUCUCAGUUUGUAUGGGUAGUUUUCCUUGUGACUCCAAUUUACUUACAUAAGUAAAUGUUGUUGGAUUAGUGUCUAAAUCCAUAACUAUUUUGGUAUGUACUUGACCCGAUUAUGAGCAUGGUCCUUUUGGGUUGCCUUCACCAUAACAAUAUGUAGGAUGAAUUAAAAAGAGAAAGCUUUAAUUAUGAUUUAUUAAUACAUUAUAAGAAAAAUAUAUUAAAGGAGAAAUCAUAUUGUUUAAUUAAUAUUAGUUAAGAAUUAAUUUAGUGACUAAAAGAGAUUAAUUAAAUUAAGGGGACUGAUAUUUUAAUUAUAAGAUAGUUGCAAAGUUGGGCUUAGGAUCCAUUAGAUUGCAAUGGACGAAUUCUAUAUGGAGGACUAUAAUGAAAUCGUCCAAGGGCCUUCUGGAAUGGUCCAUUGGACUGCUUAAGGCCUAAGCAGUCAGAUUAGGGUUUCCUGGUUGAAAACCCUAAUAGCCUACAUGUAUAUAAAGGACCCUUAAGCCCCCAAAACGUGGACAACACUUCCUUUAGGGUUUCCAGCCGGUUUUUGGUGCCUCCUCUCUUCUCCCUCUUCAUCCAAGUUGCUUAGUGGUGUUUGUGACUCCAUUAGAGGUGCAACACUUGAGACAUUAAGCUUUCUGAAGCCAAGGAAUUGAUUGUUAUUGCUACAUAACAAUCAAGGUAAGAUCCAAACCCUAGUUUACAUGUUUAUUUGAUUAAUUGUUUGCUAGAUUUAGGGUUUAUAAGUCUUGGAGGUUUAUUGCAUGUUCAAAGUAGAAAAACUAGAUCCAAGCAAUUAGGGUUACAUGAACACCAUAAGAAUGCUAUUAUGCUCAAAACCCAUCAGUGGUAUCAGAGACUAGGUCGUUUUUCUAUUGAAUAGACGCAUAAUUAGACCAGCAAAGAUCUGAAAAUCGAAAUUUUUUGCUCACUGCCUGAUGAACUCGCCGACUUUCUCUAAGAACUCGACGAGUUCAAAAGAGGACUCGACGAGUUGGCUGUUCUGUUGACGGGAUUUUCGAAUUUCUGGCCAGAUUUUGACGGGGAUAAUUACCAAAACUCGUUUUUAUUGCCUAAAAUCGAUAUUUUAUGUUUGGAAUGAUUAUCCUUAUCAAAAUUGAUGGAUUUGGAUAAUAUAGGAUUAUUAUUAGACAUACAUUUGACCUAGUAAGUUUGAAAAGUUUCAGUUUUCACCCUUUAGGUUUAAUAGUUUAAAUUUGAACUUAAAAAUUUUUGUUUUUGAAAUUUAAAUAGUUAAACCUUAUUGUUUUGAAAGGUUUCAAAACUUGUCUUCAAGUUUUGGAAUUUAAAUUUUGAUUAAAAGUUGAAUUUUGAAAUAUUUAAAUUCUAAACCCUAAGUUUGAAAAAGUUUCAAAACUUUCCCUCAAGUUUUGGAUUUUAAAAUUAAUUAAAAGUCUUAAUUUGAAAUUUUAAAUUCUAAAACCCUAGUAAUUUGAAAAGUUCAAAUCACACCCUUAUGGUUUUAUUUAUUAAUUAUAGUGUAUAAUUAAAAGAGAUUUAAUCAACCCAUAAAGUUUUGGUUUACAUUUAAUUAAAUUAAAAGUAUAAUUUACUAAAUUGAACCACCUAGUAUUUUAAAAGGUGUAAAAUACACCAUAUACUAUAUAUAACAUUAAAAGUCUAAUAUUAUAUAUAUGUAUGAGUAAAAGUCAGUCUUACNGCGAUUGAAUGGGUAUCCACUCUUACCCACCGCACUCUUGACUAGUGGAGGGUCGUUAGCCGAACGGGUAGGAUAGGACAGAAACCUUCCAUUAUAAGUAUAAUGAAGUAAAAAGUAACUAAAUGCUUUUACAAAUUCCCAAAUCAUAGUUACUUUAGGCAAAAUGUGAAAUUGUAUGCUAAUCCAUGGAAUUACACUUCGUACCCUUGUCAAACGUUAGUUGAGCGUGUGUGGUUAACUGACACACUAAUUUGCGAUGACAUUGGUAGCGAAGGGUGGCUCGAUGCUUAUCAUAGAUCAAUGGAGCGUAUGUGGCUAACCGGCACAUCGAUUAGGUAUAGUAGCAUUGAGUGCACCACGUAGAUUCGUAUGGUUAUUCACACCUUGUUUGUGAUCCUCGGCAUCCCAGUCACAAAUAGUAGGGCAUAAUCGAGAUUAAACAUGCCAUUGAAAAGUUCAAUGAAUCUCAAAAGAUCUAGGAGUUUCAAUUCAUUUAAAACUUAAUCUUCCUUUUCGUUUUUCAUGGUGGAAAUUGGUAAAUCGUCAUUUACCUACCUUCAAAUAUUCUGCAACUAGAUUACGGCAUCCCUCUUCUAGGUUGUAGAGUAUUGUGUUGGAUCCUAGCUUGAUGUUUCAUUUGGGUGUUACAUCAAGAAUUCUAAUCAACAUAACUUGAAUUUUCUCCCGUUUUGUAGAUGUCUGAAUCUUACAAUGGUCUUCCCAAAUCCUUUGGAACAAGCUUUCCAAAUGAAGAUGACGUUCCGAGAUACGAUCAAGGAAAUGAGAGUCAUGCUUCACUUCCUCCACCUCCUCCAAUUAUUCUCCCUGACCCACAAGUUCAAAGGCUUGAAAAGUUCAAGCUCACUCAAGCCCUUUUGGCAAGUAAACACGAAGAUGGGAAAUUUGUGUGUGCACACGUCUUAGAGAUGAAGUCACACAUUGAUAGGUUAAACAUGUUGGGUGUCGAGAUUUCAAGUGAGUUGGCUGUUGACUGGGUUCUUCAGUCACUUCCUUAAUUAUAUAGUGAGUUCGUUAGAGAGUACUAUAUGAUGGAUCAUGACGAGACCCUAAUUGAUCUCACCUAUUUGCUUAUAGCUGCUGAAUCAACAAUGAUUUGGCGUGCUGGUCAAGCAAAUUUGUCUGGUGAAUUAAACUCCCAAACUUCAACGGACAUUGAAAAUGAUGACAUUGGAGAUCCAGAAAAGGUAAACUCUGAGAUAGUUCCGUGUGUCAUUCCAAAAGAGUCUAUUUGCUUUUAUUUCCAAGAGAAGGGGUAUUGGAGACGAAGUUGCCCUAUUUACCUGAGAGAUCUAAGAGAUGGGAGAGUCAAGACGUAUGGCUCUACUUCAGGUAAAAUCCAUUAUCUAACUCUUUUAAGAUCCUAUUCUAGAUUCUUAAUACAUGAUGUGAUAAGAUUACAUUUUGAUGUUUUGUAGGAUCGAAGAAAAGAGAGGAAGCUUAAGGGAAGAAGUGAGCUGAAUCUAAUCGUGAAGAAAUGGAUUUCGAUCGCAUUACUUGAAGAUNAGCUACCACUUGGAGUUAGAAUAGAUUGCUAAGAAAUAUGUAAUGACAUAGUUUUUCAAUUGAAUUGCAUUGUAAGGACAAUUUUUUUUCCACAACAAAAUGAAUUUUUGAUUUUAUCUUAUUUAUUUAUCCGUGUAAUGGCGUGUAUGAAAAAAUUGACGUUUGAAAGUUUCUAUUAUUAGCAAUGAUGGAUUUGAUUCUUAAUUAUGUUAUUUAUGGAAAUGUCGAGAAUAUAUACCAAAUAGGGAGAGUUACUCAUCGCCCAAGUUUCAAUUGGACAGAAAUUUGGAAUCAUACAACUUGGUUGUGUGAUGAAUGAGAAAUUUUAUAUUUGGAAAUUAGAUUAAUUCUUUAACAAAGUGUCAAUUGAAGGACUAGGAGAUCGAGUACACUAGGUCGUACGAUGAUCAAGUCUACCACAAGAGUGGCAAAGAUAUCUGUCAUGUUUUACUAAGUUUAGUAAAUAAGGUUAUACUUAUAAGAUUAAGUGUAACUCUGAGUUGAUUGAAAGAGUUUCAAUGAAUAGCAGAACAAAUAAAGAAGGAUCAAGAGUGCAGAAAGAUAAAAGUUUCUCUGUUCUAAGAAGAAGGGAGAGUACCUUUUAUUGUGUUUUAUGAUAAGUCUUAAUGAUUAAGAACCAUAUCUCAAUUGAUCCUCUAAGUGAGUCUUAGUGCAUUUGUCUGUCUAAGAAGAGGAAUCGAGAAUUAUGGAAAUGGUUAAAUCAAGAAGUCAAUCAUACUUCAUUCUAGUAUCAAGUCUUAGAGUUAUACUCCAAGAUUGCGAAUUGAGUGAUAAGUCUUAAGAAGGUUUAUAACACUCAACAAAUGUGGAAUUUGGAAAAGUUUUCUUAUUCUUGCACAUUUGAAAUUGGUAAGUUGUGUUGUCUUGGAUAAGACAAAGAUCAACUAGAACCAAUUAUGUAAAGUGUCUUGAUAAGAACUACACUAACUCUUGAAUAUUUGUUUUUUGUAGAAAAUUUUUCUAACAAGAGAAUCAUAUAUGUCAAGAGGUCAGUGGGAGUUUUAAUGAUCUUGAAAAAGUUUCAAGAACAAAUCAAGAAUAAACCUUAUCGAUCAUUACUAGCACACGACUUGAGGUUUACAACCUAUCGUGUUGACAUUAUUUUGUUUCUGUGCCAUUCCAGUUGAGUUAAUUAUGCAUGUGAGUUCUGCGAGUUCUCAUUUGAAUGCAUAAAGACAAAGCACCUUGAUCGAUGGAAAGUGCAUUGAUAUGUAAGCAUAAGUUGCUAAACUACUUGGAAGACGUGGUGGGCACUUGUGUUACCAUAAGGCUAGAAAUCAAGGAAGUUUAGUCCAUAUGAGUUUGGAUUUGUCGCAAACUUGGUUUUGGCAAAUUCACAUGGAUAGGAACACAUACACCAUAAAAUCUAAGUGUCAUAAGAUUCCCUACUUCAUGAAAAUGACGGUGAGGAAAUACUUUCGCUAAGAGAGAUUUUAAGAAGAUAGCAAUUGUGAGAAUUGUAUUCUCAAAUUCGAUUAUGGUUACGUCAUCCCUUUCCAUAGUUCGAAUUGUGAGAUUUGGCAAUUAGCUUAACAUUUGGGACUUAUUAAUAUAAGUUCUGAAUUGUUUAGACACACAUAUGAGCUAUCUAAGGCAAAGGUGUAUAAGUUUAAGAAGCUUAGAUAAAGGCUUAUCGAAGCAUCUGGUAUUAGAAAUAUGAACUUCAGAAAUUCAAUAGGCAUUGUUUUCUGGAAGUCCAACUAUUUUCUGAAUACAUGUCAAAGCUAGUGGGAGCAUAAGUGUUAUGCUUAUAUGAUAAUAAUCAUCAUGAUAGUGGGAGCAUAAGUGUUAUGUUUGUAUGAUUAUUAUGGCAAGUCUUGCAAGUUAGCAAUAUUAAGUAUAGAAAAACAAAGAUUCAAUUUGCAAAGUUGCAUGGGUUGAAAAGUUGUUUUGCUAUAAUUAAGGUAGAGAAUAUUAUACUUCGUUUCAAUAUCUAAAGCUUAGAUUGAGAAAUUUUAAAUAAAUUUAGUCAAAGGAUAUAUAGUGUGUUCUUAAAUUUCAAUUAUGAUUACGGCAUCGCUCUUCAUAGUUCGAAUUGUGAGAACGUGACACAUAAAAUAUUGUGGCAAAAGAUUGGUAAAGUAUCAUAUCUUUAUAUAAGAGAUUAUGCAUUGUGUCUCAUAUGCUUCGGGUAUAGGAUCGAUUGCAAAUAUUAUAAUAUUUGACCAUUCUUAAAUUUUCCAAAUGUCUAGCGCAUUAAGAGGGAAAAAGGACUAGAAUCGGUUUUGACUAAAAUAAUUAAACAACUAUCAAAGGACGAUCCAAAGAUCGCUGAGGAUUGGUCGCUUAUGAGUAGUUGGAAGUAUGGUAUUGGAUGGGCCAUAUCCACAUUAUUAUGAAUAGAUAAGAUUCUAUUAAGAAUGAGUUGNUGGCAAAUAUGGAAAUGUUUCCAUAUUGGGAGUUGGAUAUUGAGAGUCUAUGUCUAGAUUAAAAAAAAAAUUAUGCAAGAAGGAUGUUCAAAGGAAUGUACUUUGAAUGUGAGACUUCACGUCUAUGGAAUUGUCUUGUAACAAUUUCCGAUAGAGUAUUUUGUAAUUUCAUUGGCCAAGUCUUGGUGACUUUUGUGCUAUGAUUUUGCGAAAGGAUCAUUGCAUAAAAUGUUAGAAUCUAGCAUAUUCUAGUAGUGGCAAGAACCUUGUGUUCUAACACUAAUGACAAGGAUUGGGAAUUGUGAAACGAGCAUCAUUGGAAAAGUUUUUCAAUUGAUCUAUUUCACAAAGUAGGGACCAUAUGAAACAAAGUGUGCGUGCUUGGAGCAUGAGACAAUUGGUGUUGUAAUUCAAGUAAUGAGUUGAUUAUCCGAAACAUAAAAUGAUAAAUAAUGAGUAAUCAAUAUGGUGGUUAAAUAGAAGUGUUUUAUUUACUCCCACAAGUUUGGCGCCAUAUAGGAUUAAGUAUUAUUGUUGUGUUUUAGUUUGCAUGUUUUGACUUGCAGAAUAACUGGGUUAUUCGAACCUCCACAAUUGGUCAUACGUUGGAAGUAAGUAUGAAGGAAGACUGUCAUGAAGAGCCUGUAGAUUGUCUGAAAAGUUUAGACAUAGCACAAGUUUGCUACAGGGUUCAUGAGUGCUUUGAUAAGAUUAGAGUAUUGGAUUAAACCCACGCUCAUUUGGAUCACUUCAUGGUUUUAUCACGGGUGAUUAGUGAGACGAUAAUAUUGUAUAUUCUUGAAACGGAGACGUGUGAGUUGUUAUUUGUUGGUUGGUUGCACAUUGAUAAUAAGUAAACGCACCAGUAACUUGGUGUUAUAAAACUUAUUGUUGUGUGUGAUUCGAUCAGUGAAUGCAAGCAAGCAUAUGAGUCGAAGUUUAUCCAUUCCUUUUGCCCAAAGUGGGAUAAAAGCGAUAUUUGUGGGCCCCUCGAUGAUUUAGUGAUGACACCUAAGCGCUUGGCCAAGACGGGACUAAGUUAAUGUGUUCAAUUGUAGUCUGUUGUCGGUCAUCAUAAAUCGGAAGUCGGGAAACAGUAUAGAGAGAAUGAUUAAAAUUCAUGUCUUAUGUCUAUACGAUAUCUUGAGAAUGCAGGAAUAUAUAAUCCCUUAUCUGAAGCACACACGUAUCUGAUAAGAUCAGAGUUGACAGCAGCUUUUGAAAGCUACGAUUGCUAAUCAGGUUCUGAAGUUAUACAAAAUAGUUAUUAGACUUAUCCAAGUGGGAGACUGUUGGAUUAGUGUUUAAGUCCAUAAAUAUUUUGGUAUGUACUUGGCCCGAUUAUGAGCAUGGUCCUUUUAGGUUGCCUUCACCAUAGCAAUAUGUAGGAUGAAUUAAGGAGAGAAAAGUUUAAUUAUGAUUUAUUAAUAUAUUAUAAGAAUAAUAUAUUAAAGGAGAAAUCAUAUUGUUUAAUUAAUAUUAGUCAAGAAUUAAUAAAGAAUUAAUUUAGUGACUAAAAGAGAUUAAUUAAAUUAAGGGGACUGAUAUUGUAAUUAUAAGAUUGUUGCAAAGUUGGGCUUAGGAUCCAUUAGAUGGCAAUGGACGAAUACUAUAUGGAGGACCAUAAUGAAAUCGUUCAAGGGCCUUCUGGAAUGGUCCAUUGGACUGCUUAAGGCCUAUGCAGUCAGAUUAGGGUUUCCUGGUUGAAAACCCUUAUAGCCUACAUGUAUAUAAAGGACCCUUAAGCCCCAAAAACGUGGACAACACUUCCUUUAAGGUUUAUAGACAUUUUUUGGUGCCUCGUCUCUUCUCCCUCUUCAUCCAAGUUGCUUAGUGGUGUUUGUGACUCCAUUAGAGGUGCAACACUUGAGGCACUAAGCUUUCUGAAGCCAAGGAAUUGAUUGUUAUUGCUACAUAACAAUCAAGGUAAGAUCCAAAACCUAGUUUACAUGUAUUUGAUUAAUUGUAUGCUAUAUCUAGGGUUUAUAAGUCUUGGAGGUUUAUUGCAUGUUCAAAGUAGAAAAACUAGAUCCAAGCAAUCGGGGUUGCAUGAACACCGUAGGAAUGUUGUUAUGCUCAAAACCAUCAAAUGUAACACUCAUAAAAAUGACAAGAAAUUUAAACUUUUUAAAACAACCCAAAUUCAUAAAUUGUUUACAAUAACUGUUUUCAAAACAUUUUCAAACAUAAGAGUCUCCCAAAAUCAUAAGUCAUAAACAAGAGGAUAUGUACGGUCAUGGCUUUGCCUUCCCACGGUCAUCCGAGGUACCAGAAACAUAACCCAAAAUUGUAAGUCAACGCUUAGUGAGUUCCCCCAAAGUACCAUCACAUAACAUAAGAAUAAUAACAAACAACAUGCAUACAGAGCCUUCAUCUUGACUGGAAUUCCACACCUGCCUACAGACUAUCUGGUACGCUCACAGAACCUUCAACGUGACUGGUACGCCUCACCAGGCCUUCAGCCUAUCUGGAACGUUCUCCUGCCUUCGGCCUGACUGGUACGCCCCUCAGGCCUGCAGUCUAUCUGGAACGCCCUGGGUCUCAUGGCCUUUAGUCUACACUAUUCUGCCUCAACCCAACCACACACAACAUGUCGACAUAUACAUAACAAAUAUACAUACAUAUAACCAACCACCAGAUAAUCAAAUCAGACAAAUCUAACAGAUCUCUAAGCAUAACAUCCUCCUAUAUACCAAGAUACCAAUCUAACAGAUCGCUACAACAUGAUAACAUACUACCACAUAACAGGAUAUCCAAUCCAAUGGGUCAGCCUUGGUGCCCCUUACCCGUAAGUACAACGAGGAAAAACUCACCUCAUAGACUGAACAUUAGCUGAUGAGGUCUCGACUCCGAAUCUUAACUCUAACUGUCACCUACCCAGCCAAACGACCAAUCAUAAUCAAAAUCCUAAAUUACCCAAAAUACCCUUCGGUCAAACUUGGUCAAAGUUAAAGUCAAACUGGUCAAAUCAACUGAGUCAACCCAGCCGAAUCAACCAAGCCAAGUCACCUCAAAAUGAGUACGCAGGGGGUACUCCGAAGGUAUGUUGGGUGUAUUUGCAUGUUGACCAGGUUGUUGACCUUGUACGUUGGACGUACUUUGAGUACGCAGGGCGUACUCCCAAAAGCUUUAAAUCUCAUUAAGUGCUUAAUGACUUAAGCACUCACGUCCAUAUUUCAGAUCCAUGGCUAAAAUACACUCAAGGGUCAUAAAGUUUCUAACUUUAUGACUUUGCAUGCCCAUUAAGUGUUUAACUCAACUUCUUAAUCCAUUAUGACAUUCUACAAGAUGCAUGGAGCAAAACCAACCAUUUGAAACCCAUUUUAAUGGCUCAGGACCCCUCCAAAGGUCUGAAGGGACAAAUUAAUGGGUCAACAACAUGCUUUGUUCAUGAAACACCACAUUUAGGACAAAAAGAACCAAAACUAAGCCCAAAACAAGAUCUACAAGAAACUACACCAAGUUCAGAAAUUGAUACAUCAAAAUGGUUCCAAAAGGUGGUGUGAACUGUGACAUCCCCAUUUUCACGGCCAGAAAAGACCGAUUUGUUUAUGCUUUGUUUUUUAAAAUCAGAGUAAUCUUUUAAAGAAAACGGUUGCGGAAUUUGUUCCCAAAACAAGAUAUGAUAAUAACUUAUCAAAACAUUUCUCAAAGAGAAUGUAUUUUCAUUUAAAAAUAAAACCUCAGGAUGUCAUGUUCCGAUACAGACAUAUAAGCAUAAACAGAACUUACAUUCAAUUACACUAAUGAUUUAUAUCUCCUUUAAAUCUCUCUUUGAAAUAUGUCUUCGUAUUGAUACCUGUGAUACAAAGAAAACUGAGUGGGUCAGGCUUGGAAGCUUGGUGAGCAUAUAGGGUUUUCAUCCCACAAUAUUAUAUCAUAUAUUUAUAAAUAUAGAACAUUCAAACUUGUACAAUUUCACUGUAUAAAGGCAACUCUGAUCCCACCCCAUCGAUCCUCACAACGACACGAUCUAAACUCUCGUAUCUAAAAUUUACCUCUUUACCUGAUCCCUACUUACGGAUCUAAAACUAAAUUUACCUCUUUACCUGAUCCUUAUUCACGGAUCUAAAACUAACCUUUUAACCUGAUCCAUACUCACGGAUCUAAAACUAACCUUUUCCCCUAAUCCAUACUCACGGAUCUAAAACUACCUGAUCCAUACUCACGGAUCUAAAACUAACCUCCUGAUCUGAUCCAUACUCCCAGAUCAAUAAUUGUACCCAUUCCAUACUCCCGGAAUAGGGGCAAUUAACUAUACCUUAAUCCUGAUUUGAUCCAUACUCCCGGAUCUAUAACUGUGCCCAAUCCAUACUCCCGGACUAGGGACAAUUAACUUAAUCUUAAUCCAUAUCUGAUCCAUACUCCCGGAUCUAUAACUGUGCCCAAUCCAUACUCCCGGACUAGGGACAAUUAACUUAGUCUUAAUCCAUACUCCCGGACUAAUAGCAAGUUUAUCUCUUUACCUGAUCCAUACUCACGGAUCUAAAACUACCCUCUUGAUCUGAUCCCUACUCACGGAUCUAAAACUAACCUCUUGAUCUGAUCCAUACUCACGGAUCUCAUCUACCCAUGUCCUACCCAACAUAUUUGUAGAUAUAAAUUACAUAUACAGUUUAACUCAUUAAAACCUAUAUAGUUCAUCCAUUCCACCAAUAUCUCAAAUAAACAAACAAUAUAUAAACACAUAGCACGUAUUUCAUAACAAAUACUUAAUAUUUAUGUGUUAGAAGAAAGUUACUACACACUCACUUGAUUAGAAGAUGAUCGGACAGGACUACGACUUGUAGAAGUAGUAUUCUUCAGCAGAUCUGGAAGAUCUUCACAAAAAAACGGGACUCCUCGCGGGCAGAGCUUCGGCUCGGGAAUUGCACUUCUCGGGAUCUUUGGGGCCUCGGGACUUGCUUCGGGGCUCGGGAAUGAUACCAGGGCUUCGGGGGUAGUUCGGGAUGGCUAUAGAGGGUAUCGGGAGUGAGAGAGAGGAGCUGGAGCAACCCAAACUCGGCUGACCCUCGAUUUCUAUUUAUAGGGCCAUUUUCAGGUCUCACAUCGUGAAUCUCAAAUAUUCAUGUCGUGAGUUCAGUUGUCACUGCAUGCGUCAUCGCAAGUUGCGUCUGUCAGGCUCCAGAAGUCAUAAAUAAUGAGUUCACGUCGUGAACACUAUAUUCACGUCGUGAACUCUGACAGUUUUAGGGUUUCGCGCCCCGAACUUCAGAAAUUCAUAACUUUCGCAUACGAACUCUGUUUUCGACGUUCUUUAUAUUCACGCGAAGGUGAGAUUAUGAUCUACAACUCUUGUGUAGACUCUGUUGGCUAAUUUUGACUUAAAUUUUAAUAUAUUAUAAAUAUAUUACUUUUAUAUUAUUUUUAGUAGGCCGGGACAGGAAAACUCUGUUAUAAAUUCAUAACUUCUUCAUCUGACGUCCGUUUUCGCCUAUCUUUUCAUCGUUUAACUACAAUUAAUGAGAUCUUAGAUUCUCGUUUAGAUUGUUUCGGCUAAAAACCGCUCGGUCUCAAAUCGAGUAUUCGGGCUGCAUACCGCUAAGUCGAAACUUAGAAAAUUCAUAACUUCCUCAUACGAAGUCAGAUUUGGGCGUUCUUUUUAUGCACGCUCAUGGUUUAAUGUAUUCUACAAGUUUCAUUUAGAUUGCUAAGGCUAAAUAUCACUCUAACAUAAAUUCACUUUUUACGUCGCGCUGUGCCGUGUCGGUUCUGUCGUGAAACUUCGACAGGUCAUAACUUCUUCGUUAUAACUCGGCUUUCGGCGUUCUUUAUAUGCACGAAAACCUUGUAACAUAUUCUAUAACUUAUUUAAGAUUAUUAAUUCUAAAUAAUCUUUAAUCAAAAAUUCAUUUUUGACGCCUAUCGUCUCUAAAUUGACUAGCCCUGAUCUACGGGCAUUACAAUCCUGGAUGUAGAGCGCUUCACUCCUUCAAGGUGAUCUUCUCUUCCUUCCUUCUUCUUCAAAAGCACAACAUACACACAAGCUUAGAAAUGCUUCACAAGAGGGAUUAGGGUUAUAAAACGUAUAAAGAGGGUGGAGGCUGAUGAGGUGAGGGAAAAUAAGGCUAUAAUGUGGUUUAAAUAUGUGACAAACCCUAAAAAUUAGGGUUUGCAUGUCGGGCACAUACUCCAUGCAUACCGAUGUAUGCCUUACGUACUAAGGCACACCUUAGUACGCUAAGCGUACACACAUACACAUGGCGUACUCCCCAACCUUUCCAAAUUAUGAAAAUGCCAUUAGGGCUUCCAAUGCACACUUCCUUUUACUUAUGGACCAAAAUGAGAUAUAAUUCGAUGAUAGGGUUAAAAUUAAAAGUACCUUAUCAUCGGGAUGUUAGAAUAAAGAGUUGUGUCAUUUUUUGCUCCAGAGUCUUGAUACUUUCUCUGGUUUCAUUUUUAAACGACUGAGUGCUAGUGGCUAAACUCUUGACAAUAUCUUUUAAAGAAAUUUUUGAACUACUUGUGCUACUUCCUAGUUUCAUGUUUUGAGGUUGGGAAUGAGAUAGUUGAUGAGGUUGAUGAUGAUGAUGGAAAUUUUGUUGGUGAUGCAUUUGAUUAUGAAAUAGAGGUCUAGGUUGAUAAGAUUGUGGCCUUAGCUGGAAAUUUGCAUUGGGUUGUUGUCCCUAAUUUGGAUUGCAUCUAGGCUGAAAAUUGCCUUGUUGUUGACCAGAAAAUUCCAUAUCUUGAAUUGUUUCCAUUUUUAUCUUGUAACAUAGGACACAUAUCAAUAGUGUGUCCUACUUGGGUACAAUAACCAUAAGGUCUAACAGUUGUUUCACACCCUUGUCCUUGGCAAGUAUCAUAACAAUUGUUGUCAAUUAAUAAAGUUGAAUUUCGAUCUUUUGAGUGGUAAGUUCUUUCACUCCUCUUGGCGUACUAGUGCACCAUUCCUAUUCUUGAAUUGUAUGCUUGGACUUUUCAACCAUAUUCUUGAUAAGAGCUCUGAUUUCAGUAGGAGUCUUGUGAGCUAUUGAUCAACCACUUGAUUGAUUAAGCAAUCUUCUCUCCUAAGGUGACAUCCCUUCAUAAAAAUAUUACAACAACUAAUAUUCAAAAAUCCCAUGCUUCACAAAAUUUUCAACAUAACUUCUUGAAAUGUCGCUAGUAAGUAUGUAAAGCUUCUCUUUCCUGUUUCUUAAUAGCGAUGAUUUCCAUGUGUAAGGCCGAAGCUCUCAUUUAUUGAAAAUAUUUAUCAAAAACAUAUGUGAUAGUUCAUUCCAUGUUCUAACCAACCCCGAUGGCAUUUCAUAUAACCAUUCCUUGGUUGAAUCUUACAAAUCAAAGGGGAAUGCCCUUAAAUUGAUUUGGUCUUCAGUGACCUCAGGUGGUUUCAUCCUCACACAAACAACAUGAAAUUAUUUAAGUAACUUAUGUGGGUCUUCGUUUUCAAGACCACAGUAUGUAGGCAACAAAUGGAUGAGUUUGGAUUUUAGUUUAAAGUUUAUUGUUGCGGAUAGGUAAUGCAUAAUGGUUGUUGUGUAACAUAUUGUGUAGACCAUUGUCGAAGGGUUUGUUCAACUGGUGGAUUAAGAGGAGCAUGAUUAUUAUUAUUGUGAUUCACCUAACCUUCCAUGGUAGGAGUACGGAUGAAGGUUUCAGGCUUGGUAGAAUUAGUGGGUGAAGGUGGUGGUGUAGAUUCUUUGGAUGUUGGUGUAUUUGAGAAUGUGGUUGAAAGUUUUGAUGGAAAAGCUCUAGCUUGUUGUUCUUUCCUUAAGAGUCUAGCUUGCUUUCGUCUUUGUUUCACUGAUUUCUCUAUCUCCAAAAUCAUCUGGUAAAGGUAUACAUGCAUGAAAAGAUCUUGGCAUAAACAAUUAGUACUACUGUAUCCCCAACAAUGGCACCAAUUUGUUUUGGUGUCAAACCAAAAAAUGAAAGGGAUAAUAUAACACACUAACAACUCACUUCUAUAAUAUACUAAAAUAUAAUAUAGAGUAAGCAUAGCUAAAACACUGAGAUACAAGACUUAUUAUUUAACCAUAUUUCCACAUGAUAUAUUAUUAAUUAUUAAAAUGGGAGGGGGGGGGGGGUUUNAGAAUGCAUGAAUGAAAAAAAAUAAAAACUAAAAUUCAAAAUUUAAAAGACAUUUCCAAUUCAAAAUCCCCUUCAAGUACAAUGUUGUAAGAUGUAAUUUGAAAUCAAUUUAUGUUUAAUCUAGGUUCGUAAUUAAGAUAUUAAUACGCUCUAAUAUCUAAAGUUGACAAAAGUGUUUUACUCAAAAUAUUAUCUUCAAGUAAAACUUUAUCUAACUGAUUUAAUACAAAUAGGCUCUUGAAUUAAAUCACUAAAUGACAUUAUAGUUCUUGCAACAAUUACCAAUAAUGCUCAAUACUCUCAUAUGCUCGGGAAUGUAAAAGAAUCUAAUCCUUGAUUACUUUAAUUUUGAUUCAUUUGAAAGCAACUAAAUGUUUGUUACCAAUUUUAAAUCAUAAAGCAUAUACAAAUUUCAAAUUUUGAUUAACAAUAAUGAUAUGAACCCUAACUUCAUUGAUAAAUUGAAAAGAGUACAAAUAAAACAUAUCAUGAAGAAUAUAUCAAGUGUUAGUAGAUAAUAAACAUGAAAUCAAGUUCACAUCACAAUCUAACAACAAGUAUUUAGAAUCUAGAACCGAAAAUGAAAAAAAAAAUGUUAGCCACACAUGACUAACUUGAAGUACAAAUUCAAAAAGUUUUAAUCUUAAAACAACUUACAAAUUUAAAUAAAUAAUGUUUCCAAAGUGAAAAUUGAUGAUACGAUCUAUCAAAAUCGCCUUUUGCAAGUCCUUGGUCGAUGUACUCUUAAAAUGAAAAGGAAUCUCUUUCUGAUUAGAAGUUGAGAAUCCAAAAAACUGUCAAAACACGUUACACGGCUGUGUAACGAUAUGCCUUGCCAAAGUACAAAUGUGUAACAACUUAGUUGUGCUAAAAAACUCCAAAAAAAUGGUCGUGUAAGGACAAGAAUAAUCAAAACACAAGCCGUGUAAUAAUAUGAGAAACAUCCAUUUCCCAAUUUUGCAAUUUCUUCAACACGACUUCAAAAAGUCCGAAACUUUACCGAGAGCUUCACUCGACCAUCCUAAGCAUGCUCCAACGUUCAAACACACCUAAAACAUCCACCAAAACUAUAAGAAGUAUAUAGAUCAUCGAUUUGUCCCGAAAAUGCAAAAUGCACGUAAAAUUACACAAAAUAUCAUGCAAUGCUAUAAAUAAAUGUGAACUGAGUAUAUAAAAAGGUGCAAUUUAUGCACCUAACACAUAUUAGUGUCGAAUAAAUCAUGAUCAUAUUGCAUUACUUCAUAUGAGUAUAUGGGUAAAGAGACUAGUUUAGUUCGUAUAAUAGGUGGCAUGGAUUUCUAAUUAGUUGAAGAUGAUUGUAUUGGUAUUCUAAAAUUCCAUCAUGUAGACUGGCUCAUGCAAAUCAUUUUCUAUGUUACAUUUGUGAUUGUUAACAUGUUACCAAAUUUGAAGUGAAAUUGUACCUAUAGGUAAAUAAGUAUGCUUUGCUCUAACUCUCAUACCAUUCUCUAAUUAACCAUCAUCCUUUAAGGAAAAAUAAGGGAAACCCUAAUGUGAUAAAGAUUAAACAAAAAAAACUGCCAGAUCCAGACUUGGGAUUUUGGGCAUGUGAAUACAUAUAUUGUACUACAUCUUUUACAUACAUUGUUUAUCAUGUAGUUAAUUUUAUCUUAGCAUAUGAUUAAUGCAUGUAGUAUUUUCCUAAAAAUAUGAUUUAAAGGAAAUUUAGUUAAAUAUGUUAUCUUUACAAAUAUAUGAAUUUGAUGUUUGGUAACGCCCGGUUUUUCAGGUAAAUUCCUUAUUUGUUAAAAUGUUUAUUUAUGUUUCUUUGGGACCGCGUACACAGGGCGUAAGUGUGGUAUGUUGGGCGUACCUCGAAGAACCUUGGAUACCAGGAUAGUCCCCUGGUACACUGGACUUACCAAAGGGUACGUUGGGCGUAUGUUAGCCAGGGGAAAACCCUUAUUUUUAGGGUUUUCACCCAUUGCCCCUUUUGAGCACUAUCUCGAAACCCUAAUCCAUUCCUCAAGAGAUUUUACCCUUGUGCGUGUUUUAGUGUGUGUGUGUGUAGUGCCUCUUAAAGAAGAAGAAGACUUGUAGAGGAGCAUUAAACAAGUUGGAGCUUGUAGAUCCAAGGUUUAUUCAGUCUUUCCGGCUUAUUGGAGGUAUAAAGUCUUGAUCUUGCAUAUCCUAUGUCUAUAUCUAGAAUUGGUUGAGAUUUUAUCAAAAUUUGGUCCCAUGAAUGAACCCUUGUGAGUAAAUGUUACUAUAGAAGUUAUGAGUUGUUUCUUUUGAUGAUUUUGAGGUCCUUAGUCCAUAAAGUUUGCAUCUUUAUGAUUGUAGAUCAACCAUGCAUGAGUUAGUGAUCAUUUGAUGGAAGUAGAAUGUUAUAUCUAGGGUUUGAGUCUCCUUGAGACAUGAAAAGAUAUCGAGAUGGUAACUUCAUUGUUUAAGACGUCCCUUAAGAGCUAGAUUUGAAAGUUGGACAAUGGACUUGAAGCAUUAAGUGCUUAAUGAAGUUUUGGAUAAAUGGAGCGUACGUUAGACGUACAUGGAUGAAGUCCUGAUACUCCUCAAUAUGAAGCAGUACAACGGGCGUAUGUAGACGAUACGUUGAGCGUACCCACUAGGGGUCAUUUUGGAGGUUUUAGGCCAUUGUUGGGACCUAGGAUUUGGGCCAUUAUUGGUCCUUAGGCUUUAGGCCAUUGUUGAGGCUUAGCACCUUUGGACUUGAGUCAUGUAUUGAGGGGACCAUUAGGGGAAGGGGUAAAAUGAUCUUUUACCCCUUAGCAUGUAAGUGAGUAGUCAGAACCAUUCAUGGGUUAUUACCCUGAGUAUUGAUUAAGGUUAAUUGGAAUGUUCAGUGUGAGAAGCCAUAGUAGCAGUAGCCCAAGAGUGUGAUUUGUUUAUCUUUAGAUUGAGGUGAGUUCCUUCACUUUAUUCAUGGGUUGAAGGAACCAACGUCAACCCAUUAGAUUAUGUUUGUAGGAUGAUAGUUGUCUUCGUGAUAAUUUCUUGUCAUGCAUGUAUAUAUUUGUUGUCUCUGUGACUCUUGCUGAUAUGAUUGUAUACUAGCUGUAGGGGUGAAAUAGACCUGAUACCGGUUGAAAGAGACUGAAAGGGGCGAAAUAUGUUGGAUUAGUGUCUAAGUCCAUAACUAUUUUGGUAUGUACUUGACCCGAUUAUGAGCAUGGUCCUUUUGGGUUGCCUUCACCAUAGCAAUAUGAAGGAUGAAUUAAGGAGAGAAAGGUUAAUUAUGAUUUAUUAAUAUAUUAUGAGAAUAAUAUAUUAAAAGAGAAAUCAUAUUGUUUAAUUAAUAUUAGUCAAGAAUUAAUUUAGUGGCUAAAAGAGAUUAAUUAAACUUAGGGGACUGAAGUUGUAAUUAUAAGAUAAUUAUAAUUGGGCUAUGGAUCACCUAAUAAUAUAUAGGUUGGACGAAUUCAAUGGGAAGCCCAUUAGAAAUCGUCCAAGGGAUAUGUUAAAGGAGUCCAUGGGCUGCUUAAGGCUUAAGCAUUCAUAUUAGGGUUUCCUAGUUGAAAACCCUAAUAGCCUACAUGUAUAUAAAGGGCCCCUAUGCCCCAAAAACGUGGACAACUGAUUCUCUAGGGUUUCUAGUCGUUUUGGGCAACCUCCUUUCUUCUCCUCUUCAUCCAAGUUGCAUAUGGUGUUUGUGACUCCAUUAGAGGUGCAACACUUGAGGCACUAAGCUUUCUGAGGCCAAUCAAAGCAAGGAAUUGAUUGUUUUUGCAAUGUAACAAUCAAAGGUAAUUCUCUAAACCCUAAUUCAGUUUAUUAUAUGUUAGAUAUAGGGUUUAUAGCUUUGGAUAUUCAAUUGCAUGUUCAUUAGACAAACUAGAUCCAAAAGCUAUUAGGGUUUGCAUGUACACCAUAGGAAUGAUGUAUUGCUCAAAACCCAUUAAAAUAUACACAAUACUAGUUGAAAGAGACCGAAGGGGGGGAAAUAGACCCAGUACCGGUUGAAAGAGACCGAAGGGGGUGAAAUAUACCCAUUACCGAUUGAAAGAGACCAAAGGGGGUAAAAUAGACCCAAUUAUGUUUUUACGGUUAUGUAUAUAUGGUAUGGGGUAUUUUGAGGAAGCUCACUAAGCAUCAUGCUUACAGUUUAUGUUAUGGUUUCAGGUACUUCCAGCUCGAAAGGGAAGAGCCCGACAUGAUAGCACUACAUCCGCCCAUGUUUUCUGCAUGCCGUGAUUUUAGGAUUUUGUACUCUGAUGAUUAUGCACUAUCAUAUACUUUUGGUUGAUUUUAUAUGAAUAUUGGAUAUUUUGGAAUGAAUUAAAAAUAAAAUUUUCAUCUGGAAAUUUUGAGAUGUUACAUGUUAUUUAUAUAUUCUUUUUUAGGUGUCUAACCCUUUUAUGAGUUACUAUGUUUCCUUGCCCAAUGUACUAUUUUGAUAUGUGUUCGUAGAAGAAGCAUGUUUAUUGGUAUAAUUUUCAUAUUAGAGACUAGUCACACAAAAAAUAGAGGAGGCUUUGAAAUACCAUAUAUCAUAUACAUUUUUUGAUUGUUAUAAUGUCACUCGUCUGAAAUCUUCAAUCCAGAUCAAGAAACAUAAUCAUUUAGCAUAUAAGGUUGAUUUAAUUCAUGCCUUAUGAUUAACAUAAGACAUCGUAUAUACAAAGGAAAAUGUGGUAAACUAGUUGAUAUUAACUGAAAAAUUGAAUGUUAAUUAUAUCCAUGAAAGGCUCAUAUUCUUUUCAGAUGUGUAGCACUCGACGUGUUGUUAGACAUAAUCAUUUACUUGUUUUGAUAGUAGAAUGUUAUAUGUUGAUAGACAUUAUUGCCACUACCAACCAAUUAGGUCACGUAACUAAGUGAUGAAUAAAUGAUGAUACCAAGAUCAAUAUAAAUCCUAACAAUUAUUAUGAGGAACAAGUUCUUGAAAGACCACAUGUAUUGUGGACUAAACUUGAUAGGACUAGACCAAGCCUGUAAAAGGGUUGUUACACACCUUUCAUAAGGGUAUGUUUGCAUUGAUCGAGCAUAUGCAAACCUAAUACAACUAUUUAAGGGAGCAUCUACCUCACUGCCUCACCAUCAUUGAUCAAGAUUUCAGAUAAUACCUAAUAAUUUCUAGAAGGUUUUUAGGACACAAGAGCUUAUGUGGUGAGAUUCUAUUGUCAUCAAGCUAGCACACGUUUGUUGCAUUGUAAAUGCACCUAUGUUAUGGUACCGUGAGAGGGAUGCUACUUUUGCUCCUAACUUUACAUGUACAUUCAUCCCUAUACAAACCAUAAUACAUCCUACUAUAAGUGAAUAAUUUAAAUCGUUUAUAGUUGUGUUUAUUGCUUAUGUGAUUACAUAGAAGACCCUAUUAGAAGAUAUUGUUUUUAGUUAUCAUUUCCUUUUGAUGUUGUUAUCAUAAUAAUUAUAACCAUACAAAAACCCUACAAACACCAAUUAAAUAUGCUCGAUUAACCAAUGUCCUAGCCAAGGACUAAGUUAUAAAAACAAAGUUUAAUAAACAUGGUACCACAAAUGAAAUAUAAAAUAUAGAUUAAAUUAAAUAAAUAGUCUAUAUGGUUUACAAAAAGUCAAAGGUUCGGUCCUUAAUUUCUUUGACUUGUAUGGUUCCUAUGAAUUAUUAUUAUUAUUAUUAUUAUUAUUAUUGUUAUUAUUAUUAUUAUUAUUAUUAUUAUUAUUAUUAUAAUUGUUUUUAAUAUUAUCAAUACUAGAUAUGUAACCCAACCACACCCAUACCCCUAACACUCAUUGACUUUCCUAUUUCCUAUUUCCAUUUGCGAUGAACCCCCAUACCACCACCUUUCCCUUGGCUCAUCACAUCCCUUUUUACACAAGACCUACUGUAACAAUCAAACUUUUCUUAUAUUUUAAAAAAAAAUACACCUAAAUUUUUUGCAUUUUAUACAUCAAAACCAGGGGUUUACUUUAGUACUUACAAACACAACUUGGUAAGCACAAAAUACUUAGUAUAAAAUACAUCCAAGAUCUAUUUGGUAUUACAUAAGUUUACAUAAAACACGAUAGUUAAUAUUAAACUAACUCCUACUUCUCAUAGUUGCCUUUCCUUUUUUGAGUUAAUAUUUCCUACUUUUCCCAAUUACACUCACAAAAUAAGCAUAAGCUUAAUGAAAAAUUUAACUAUAACAUUAUCACAUUUCAACAUAGUAUUAUUAUACAAUCAUGUUAAUUUAAUCAAACUCAACUUUUAUGCAAUGCCUUUACCAAGAGUCUCUUUUAUAAUCAUUUAUUCCAUUAAUAUUUCGAGCCUAUAACUCAUUAUGAGGCCUACAUGUUAUUUAAAAAUGUCAUAAUACUCAUGUAUGACUUGGUCGUCAUAUACACCAUACUCUUUGAAUAUUAAUAGGGUGUUAGACUUAUACUCUUUAUAAGUAGUAUUAGAAUACUCUCAUAAAAACACCUUUUAUAACAAGUUACUUCAACAUAGAUGUAAUUAUACACCUCUAAAUUGUAUUUCAUAGUAUAUCUUAUGGGCUUAGAUUAAAUUAGUCACCUUGACUUGGUUGAAAAGAGCUUGUUCUGACUCCUUAAGAUCCUGUCCCAAUCCUUGCUUCACCAAAACCUAGGCAAUAACACAUCUCUUAAGUGUUAUAACUCAUUUUAUGACUUUCUCCUUUAUGAUCAAUAAUUUCUCAACAUCAAAUCAUAACAUUAGUUAUAUAUUACUAUUAAUAUUUCCUUAUCUAAACAAUUUAAGUGUCUCAUUACAUUAAGUGGGUGUUUGGCUUAGCUUUUGUGGGGAAAAAGUCCUAUUUGUAAAAGGACUUUUUGGAAAAGGACUUUUUGAAAAAGUUAUUUUUUAAAAUGUGUUUGGAUUAGCUUUUGAAGAGAAAAGUCAAAAAUUAAAGUGUUUGGUUUAACUUUUACAUGUAAAAUGACAAAAAAGGACAUGUUUCCAUAUUUACAUUGAUUUACUACUUUACAUAUAUUAUUUUAUACUUAAAUUUUUUUUAAACACAUAUUAUAAUCUUAUAAACAUUUUAUUAGAAAAUAUACAAUAUAAAUUUCUUUUAAAAUAUUUCUAAUUUUUUAGAUUAUACCAUAACAAUAUUAAAAUUACUACAUUCAUACAAAUUGUAAAUAAUUCAUAAGAGGACUUUUUGUAUUAGACCAUGACAAUAUUAGAAUUACGUUCAUACAAAUGUAAAAUAUAAUUUACGUUCAUACAAAUUAAAAUAUUUCUAAUUUUUUGAAUUAGACCAUAACAAUAUUAAAAUUACGUUCAUACAAAUUGUAAAUAAUUCAUAAAAAAAUAUCAAAGAUAAUAUUACAUUCAUCUACGUAAUGUGAUUAUAUCUUGUGCAAUAAUAUCCCGUAUCGCUGCCAUAUAUAACUCAUCAUCGCUCGUGCGACGUGUACUUGGACCAUCUUCGUAAACAUCACUACCGGUAUCAUCUCGUACGGGAUUGUAGGAUUCUUGUUGUGCCCUAUUAAACGCUUCAUCAAACCUACCCACCUUUCUAAUGUAGUUAUGGAUCGCCAUCGAUGUUAUCACAAUUUUCACUUGGUUCUUGUACUUGUAAUUAACAUGCAUGUCUCUUAAUAACGCCCACCUAGCUUUCCACACUCCAAAAGUUCGUUCAAUGAUAUUUCGCAAUGAUGAAUGGAGAUAGUUAAAUUUCUCUUUCGGUCCACGAGGUUCACGAAUAGCAGUCGUGUGUCCACCUCAANUAGCAUCGUGUGUCCACCUCAAAAAUCUGGUAAAUGAUAACGAAUAUUUGUGCCUUUGUAUGGAGCAAGAUACCCUCUCGUAUUUGGAUAUCCAGCAUCAACAACGUAAUAUUUAUCUGUAAAUAAAACAAACAUUUAUUAUUCGUUUCAAACAAAUAGUAAAAACAUAAAACUUGUGUUCCAAAAAAAAUACUAACCACCCGUUGGAUAGGGAAAAUUAAGAUCUGGUCUCUGUAAGGCUUCAUUGAAAAUUCUUGUAUCGUGUGCAGUCCCCUCCCAACCGGCCCAAACAAAUGUAAAGCACAUGUUAAAAUCACAAACAGCCAUUAUAUUUUGUGUUGUAUAUCCCUUUCGACUAAUGUACUUCACUUCAUCUUUUUGUGGAAUCGAUGCCCUGACGUGUGUCCCAUCUAUAGCACCAAUGUAAUCCUUCAAAUUCAAAAAUAUAUCAUAAAUAAAUUAUUUGUUAAAGUUUGAUUACCAAGAAUAUAAACAUUGGAUAAUACCUUGAACAUUUGAUAAUACCGAGGGUUAUUUAAUAUAUAUUCGGGAACAUCAUCAUUAUAGUUUGCGUCUGGUUUGAUGAUGUCGGCACUCAGUUUUAGCACGGCUUCCAAAACUGUAUGGAAAUGCCUGUGAAUCGUUUCCCCCGAAUGAUUAAAAAACUCUUGCACAAAUCUAUUGCUACACCCAUGCGCCAAAGUCAUCAAGAAUAUUCCUACAGACUCCUCUAUAGAUACUUUUCGUGUUUGUUGUAGCCUGUAAUUUGUAGCAAGAUCUAAGCAUAACUGUCUAAAAACCGGUACGUUGAGUCUAAACAUCUCAUAACAACGUCUAGGAUGGCCAAUUAGUACUUUUGUAAUAAACAUGUGCCCCGUGCGAUCUGAAGUGUGACAUGGAGUAUGUAAGUUACAAGCGAGUAUUAUCCCUUUCAAAGCCAUUCCACAUAACAUUUCAAAUUCUCUAUCCUCUUCCAUUACACGUUCUUCAUUAUCAUUGGAUGAAUUAGCAUCAUCACUAUCCAUCCUGCAUAAUACAAAUAAAAUGAUGUCAACCAUUAACACAUAACAUAAAGACAAACAAUAACACAUAAUAUAAAAUGUCAAAUACAUAAUGUCAAAGGACAACACAUAAUGUCAAAACAUAAAACUUAAUGUCAAAGCAUAUCACAUAUUGUCAUAGGAUAACACAUAAAUGUCAAAUCAUAACUGUGACAACCCGAAAUUUAUUCCGUUAUUUUAAUCACACCUUCCGUUAAUAAAACCCGCUUUAUUAAUUGUCCAUUAACCUUUUGGAAUAGGUUAAUUAAUUUGGGACUUUUAUAAUGACUUUUUAAGGGUUGAAACAAAUUAGAAACACCCUCAAAAAUCCCUUGAAAAGUUUUAGUUUCAACCAAGUCGAAAUAUGACCAUUUAAUCGGGUGCGACCAAAAGUCCCUUUUAACGUCAGUACCAGGUAGAUUUCCACUGAGCCCCAACUCAAACCCCUAUAUAAGGGUGAGUGGAGUCCAUUUGAGACUUUCCACUCUAUCUCUACACUCUCUUUCUACAACAUGUUUUGAUCCAAAAACGCCCAUUCCGAGCCCCAAACUAGUAAGUAAUCUAUCCUAACUAGUUGUGUAGCUUAGUUAACAUGCAAAUUCAUGUUUAAGACAUCAAAUAGGGGCAAAUUCAUGUGUUUACGGCCCAAGAACACUCUUGGACCGUGAACACCCUUAAGUGGGGUGUUGAAGCCCCAAAACCCCUCUAAACUACCCCUAGGGCUUACAUAUGACUUGUGGACUUACACCUUCGGGAUUAGAACACUAAAACCUUGCAUUUUGGAGAGUAAACAUGAGUUUACAGCCCAAGAACACUCUUGGACUGUAAACCCCUCUUCAAGGGUCGUGAACACCCUUUAAGGUGUUAGAAAUGCCCUCAAACACCUCCUAUGGCCUGGGAAAAUGUCUAGAACCAACCCCCAUUAAAGUAAAGGCAUUAAACAUCAAUUAAACCAAGGAUUUAGGAGUUUAUGGCCAUAAACCCCCCAAGAAUUGGUCCAUGGGCCGUAAACUCCCCUAAAUAGGCCAAAUGGCGCCCUAACUCCCCUAUAUGACUUGGAAAAAUGUAUAGAACUUUAUUCUCUACCAUUUAAGACCUUAAUACACCAAAGGAAUGAACAUAUAAGAGCUUACCGCCGUAAACUCCUUGUUUAGGGCUGUAAACUCCUUAAAUGUUCCAUUUUGAGCCUUAAACCCCUUCAUAUGCCUUAUAUUUGGACCUAGCCUAAUUCUAUGAGUGAUAAAAGACCUUAAAGCAUCCAAGAGCACACCAACCAUGAGUUUACAUCCGUAAACUCAUGGGGAUAUGGGCUUAGGGCUGUAAACUCUAUAAAGAGUUUACUCUUGAAGAGUAAACUCCCUAUCUAGGCCAUACACUCCCUUAUUUGCAACCCAAUAGCCCCCUAGCACUUGACCAAAGUGUUUUCCGCACUUUAGGAUGUGUAUACGUGUUUAAUUAGUAUUAUAUUUACUAAUUGUAUGUAAACAUAUGUCGUCAUAUGUUAAUAGGUCACUAAGUGUGUUCAAGUCUUUACUUGACACCGAGCACCCAACCGGCACUUUCGUUCGAUCUACUUACAACAGGUGAGUUCAUACCCCUGAAUUAACAUUUUUAAAUGUUUUUACAUGCUUUUAUGGGGGGGAUACAAGUUAAAACAUGCUAGUUAUAAUGUCAAUCAUAUGUGAUUAAUAACCCGCAUGCACAAGGAUUUAUUAGCCUUUCAGUUGUAUUACCAAGUAUAAUACUAUAGAUGGUUUUCCAAAACGUCUUUACUUGUUUAAAUCUUUUCUCAAAUUAUCUCUCGUGUUGUAUGUUUUACUUCUAAACCGGUUACAACAGUGUUUUAAACAAAGGUUUUCUUUACUUAUAUUGUUUUAUCAAAUUAUAUUCUAAACGUGUUUAUGAACGGUUUUCAAACUUGUUUUUCAAACUGACUUCAAGUCGUAAAUUUCUUAUGUGUAAAGGUUUUUCCAAAGUGUUCAUCAAAGUUUUCUUCUAUACUUCUAUACUUCUGCUUCGUUAAAUGCAUGCAUGUACUUGUAUAGUUAUAUAAAUAAUGUUUAAAUGACUUAGGAAGGCUAGUUCGCCCUAUUUCCUUUUCCUCGUUGGGAUGUGGUCUGGUGGGUAUCGGAUAUCCGUCCGAAGAUCAUUUAAACAUUAGUUAUAUAUCAUGUAUACACGUAUAGACAUAAAGGUUUACAUCGGCCAGUUCAUUUCCCUUGGGUAGCAAGGGCAUACUUCCAUUCAUCAUUCAUAGAUCAAAGACACUAGUAACUAUUAUAGAAAUAGUUAGGAGCCUCUAUUUACUCUUUCUAGUACGAGAAUUCCACAAGAGUCAGUUCAUACGCGAGUCUAUAUCAUUUCUCCAGCGCCUCUAACAGAAUUCAGAAUACGAGAUCCAUCUUCAAGACACGGAUCUCCCCGUUGUCUAGUUGGUAACCAGAGUCUCCUGUAGGGAGAGCGGGCAUUGUGUGUAUAGAUCUGUGCGGGACUGACACUCCCGAACCCUGACUGCUAGCUACAGUCCACAGCCUACCAAGCCAAGGGGUGACAAAUGUCAUAUUUAUUCCGACGCUUGCAGGGCGUCAAGUACUCUAGUGUCAAUCAGUAUGGUUACGAGUAUCUCCAUGUUUACCUUAUAAUUCAUGGCCUUAAGGUAAUGAGAAUCUAAAACUAUAUUCUUGAAACAACCCACUUAGGAUUUUCCCUUUGUUUUAGACCUUGCUAGCUGUAUCUUUUAUUUGAUACUGUUUGGGGUAUGUGUUUCUCUGUUUUAGACCUUGUUAGUCGUAUCGUACAUUUGAUACUGUCUGGGGUAUGUGUUUCCUUUUGUUAGACUGAGCUAGGCGUAUCAUUCAUUCGGUACUCUCCUGGAGUCUAUGAUUUCUUUUGCCUUAGUCAGCAGUAUUUUCUGCUGAGGCAUAUGUUAUUUUCCCUAAUGUUUUUACUAGUGAUAUUCUCCUACUUUCUUUAAAAUCAAAUACCGUAUUUUGGUAAUGAUAGCAUUUCAGGGAAAGCUUUUCUUUAAAACAUAACAAUGUCAAGUCUUAGUAGAAGACUGCUUUUAAUUAGAAAAUAUAGGAUUUUCUGGAAAGGACGCUAGUACACCGUAAAUUCUAAACUACUAUUUUUUUAAAGUUAUUUUGAAUAAAAUACUUACUUACACAAAUGACACUAAAUACUUAUGAACUCACCAACAUUUAUAAAAAUGCUGAUACUCGCUUUCAAAAUAACUUGUAUUCUCAGGUCAACAAUAGACAGGUACACCCAGGAGCUUUUGUGAAGCCAGCCUAGAACCGAGCGGCAUCUAUACUAGUUUCUGUAUUACUUUGAUUUCUCUAUAAACUGUAACUUAUGUAAAACUAUUACUAUUAAUGCAAUGGUUGUUGUACUUUGAUUACUAUACUGCAUAUGUUGUGAUACUUGACAUGAUGUCAUCCACCCCAGAACGUUUCCGCCGUUCCUGUUUUGGGGUGUGACAGAUUGGUAUCAGAGCAUUGUUUAUAGUGAGCUAAGUAUAUCAAUUCAAAAAAGAUAUGCAGCCUAUAAAUACAUAGGGAUAAAACACUCUGACCAAGAAUUAUACUUUAAAAUAUAACCAUAUUUUACCAAAGUAUAAGAACAUCCAGAAUCUAAACACUCGAACACAAGUAUCACAAGAAGAACAAGAAUAAAAGUCUUUGGAUGUUGAGCAUUACCGUCAAACCUGGGCAGUUAUGUAAUCGUAAGCUGGAAUAAAUGUAACCUGAUCAACUACAUUUAUUUGAGAUGCGAUGAACGUGUGCCUGGGAGUGAUAGUGGUUUUGCAACAGGUCUGAAACUUACCAAUUCGGAAUGCUAGAGCCAAACAUAAAGUUUAAAAAUACUAUGGGAGUAUUUUGGAAUACUAAAAGACUCACAUUAAUCCCAUAAUCAUAUUCAGAAGUUAAGAAACAAACAAGAAAUUAAAAUACCAUAGGGGUAUUUUAGGAUCCAUAGAUAACCUUGUGUGAAGAACUAAAAGGAUCCUUAUUGAUAUACCUACAAUUACAGAGGGUGCACUCCCAAGGUUAUGUAUAAUAAGGAUCCCAUAGGCUAAGAAUGUGUGGUUUCGAUCUACUUCCUUUUCCUCGUUGGGAUGUAGAUAUAGAGUAGUAUCACAUAUUCGAAGGCCUAUCAGAUCUAAGCUAUAUAUGAUUUGUGUACCCUAUGUAAUCGUAGCAGGACUCGAUAUGGAUCACNCUUCAGUGUUCGACAGAAGAGUUGAUUCAGACCCAGAAGAGGUUCAUUGAGAAGAUUUCCAGUUCAGAAAUAAAUGAACUAGGUCGAGACUAUUGAAAUCACCAAGUGCCUAUACCUUUUUAGGGACAUGGUGGGAAAUUCGCCUAAAAUUCUGAGAUUUCCAGUCAUCCAUCAUGAAGUGAUGACCCCCAGAGUCAGAAUCGGAAGUAAGACGGAGUAGAAAUUCAAUAUGUCUAUAGGAGAAGAUAACCCUAGGUAACUACCCGAAGGAAAUCAACGCCGGUCCCAGUCAAGGAUACGAGGUAGACAGAGGGAGCCAGUACAUGGAACCCGAGAAGUGUCUUUUCCUCGUGUUCGUCAUGCUAAUACAACCAUAAAAUAAUACAAUUUAGUGAGUUAUUGAUCACACUACUCACGCUAUGUGUUAGGUAAAUCGCCUUUUCCCGUUGCAAGUAAUACGAUUAGAGCGGAUCCCAACACCUCUAUUGAGAAUGUUUAGCCAUAAGUUUUCAUGAGCCUUUCUUCCCGCGGUCUUCGUUCCAAACUGUUCUCAAAUCUUUCCAAGCUGGAGAGUGAACCUUUCCCAGUAUAAAGGUAACUUAGUAGGAAUGACUCCCAUCUUAUGGCUUUUCUGAUACUCAUACUCCUACCUUGAAUACUCGGACUACAUCAUAGGGAUGUAGGUCGACACUCAGACAACCAAUAUCCGAGGCACGGGAAAAUUUUAUGCCGACUGUAGUAAAGAUGGAUACAUCAAGGGUUAACCAUCGUCUCUCAUCAUAUUGUAUUCCUUUCCGUGUAUGAAAAACCAUGCCUCCGAAGAAGCGUAACCAAUCCACUGGCAAGAACCUGACUCUCCUAUUCGAUGAAGCUACGUUCCAAGCUGCAGUCUCGGCAGNNNNNNNNNNNNNNNNNNNNNNNNNNNNNNNNNNNNNNNNNNNNNNNNNNNNNNNNNNNNNNNNNNNNNNNNNNNNNNNNNNNNNNNNNNNNNNNNNNNNNNNNNNNNNNNNNNNNNNNNNNNNNNNNNNNNNNNNNNNNNNNNNNNNNNNNNNNNNNNNNNNNNNNNNNNNNNNNNNNNNNNNNNNNNNNNNNNNNNNNNNNNNNNNNNNNNNNNNNNNNNNNNNNNNNNNNNNNNNNNNNNNNNNNNNNNNNNNNNNNNNNNNNNNNNNNNNNNNNNNNNNNNNNNNNNNNNNNNNNNNNNNNNNNNNNNNNNNNNNNNNNNNNNNNNNNNNNNNNNNNNNNNNNNNNNNNNNNNNNNNNNNNNNNNNNNNNNNNNNNNNNNNNNNNNNNNNNNNNNNNNNNNNNNNNNNNNNNNNNNNNNNNNNNNNNNNNNNNNNNNNNNNNNNNNNNNNNNNNNNNNNNNNNNNNNNNNNNNNNNNNNNNNNNNNNNNNNNNNNNNNNNNNNNNNNNNNNNNNNNNNNNNNNNNNNNNNNNNNNNNNNNNNNNNNNNNNNNNNNNNNNNNNNNNNNNNNNNNNNNNNNNNNNNNNNNNNNNNNNNNNNNNNNNNNNNNNNNNNNNNNNNNNNNNNNNNNNNNNNNNNNNNNNNNNNNNNNNNNNNNNNNNNNCCAUGUAUAAUUGAAAUGGAUAGACCUAGAGUGAGUGAUGCCGCCUCAUUUCCUGUUCCUUGUUUGGUUGUGGAUUUAAGGCGGGGUCGCUCAGUCAACAGUCCUUCCCACCUUAAUUAUACAUGACUAGUAUAUGUUAGGCGAUUAUAGAAAGGCCUCGUGAGAAUCCAUACAUGAAAGGUACCCUAUUCAGAAACACUCAUGACCCUCUACAGUUCCGCGUCGACUCUAUCGGUCCAAGUAUCCGUGACAGUGAUACACGGGAUGAAAGCACAUGACCCUAUCGACCCUCAUUCUAUAUCAUGUCGAAGUAUGCCAACUUCGACGCCUCUAUCAACCAUGGUUCGACUUAGUGCAACCGUGUGUAAUUCCCUAGUGUUGUGUAAAAAGAACUUUCACUGUAGCCAUUUUGGCAAAUAAAGGUUCUUCCGAACCUAAACAAAAUAAAAAUAAUAAAACCUAAUGCGAUCCGCCAGUCGUCCCUCUUAUUUCAAACCUUCCAAAGUACCCAGGAGAAGGGUACCGCGCUGUUAACCAACCCUUAUUAGAAAGAUAGAAACCGAAGCGAAAGACACUGCAGGUAUUCCAUAAGACGAUAACCACCCGAAGCAUACUCCGUAGAUCCCCCAGAAAGACCCUUCACACCUCGCAAUCAGGUUCGUGAAUCAAGAGGAUAGAACUCAUGGGACUAACCACGAUAACUGGGUAUAUGCAUAAGGGUGGUAUAUAAUUGAGAUCAAAAAGAUUUAAGAUGUGUGCUUCCUGUUUACUCCCUGUUCCUCGUUGGGUUGUGGGUUUGGGGUGGAGUCACACAACUGAACAUCCUGCCGACCUCAAUUAUAUACGGCUUGCAUACACCAAGUAUUAGUUGUAAGCCAAGCAUGAGAUCUACCACGAACCUCAUAGUAAAAAGCUUCACCCUAUUCCAUAGAAUAGGAGCUAGAGUCAAGAGAACCACGGCAGGUUGAGCUACUAUAAUGACCACGAAUCCGAAAUUUGUUGUCGUCCCGGUUAAGCCAACAUAGUAGCUAACACCCUCAGUUGGUAAGGAAAUCUGAGUCGUAAGAUGUCAAGUACAUUGACUAUGACCAUCCACUCACGCUUAAUCCCCCGAAUUAAGCAUCUCAGAGGAUAUCCCGGAAAUCCAGAAGUUGCGAUACGUUAACUCUUGAGAAGAGUGGAGGAAGAGAUUAAAAGUUUCGAGUGACGGAACCCUAUACUUCUAGACUUAACCUAAAUCAAGAAAACUCAGAACCACCGGAAGAGUAGUUGCAGAAUAUGUUCGCACUACUCAGGCACUUCGUCCACCCCGUUACCGACGAGAAGUGCCCAGGACACUCCGCCUCCCCCUCACAUGGAAGAAGUCACCGUCGCCCUGUAGAUAAUAGACUGCAUUCUCCGAAGUGAAUACUAGAAUGCCAAGAACCACAGGAUAACCUCCGCAGCCAAGAAUACUUGAUUUAAGUACGAAAGUAGGUUGCGUUAAGCCUUAUAACCCAGAUCCCGAAGAGAUUAUAGACUUGACACCCGUCUAGGUGUUAGUCGAUGGGUUAUACAAGAGCAUGCACUUUCUGCAACUGAAAUAAACCAACGCAUUAGAGAAUAGGGUAUGUAUUAGAGAUUCACUGGACUAAUAGGUGUUCCAAGAAUACUAUCUCACAUAGAAAUAGUAGAACCACCUCCCGAGAUAGUCCAACACUUCAGAAAAUCUCUAAGGAUUGAGUUAGCCCUGAACAGAGCCUGCUAUUCAUGAAACAGCAAGGCAAGUAAGAGCAUGAUCCUUUCCCGUUAAGAAUCAUAUUGUGAAAGCGCUAACUAGGCGAUAAUGUAAAGUCUAAAAACUUUCUAAGCACUCGUCUGGUGAAACCCUAUCUCCCCGACCCUGAGAGUUUCCGUUAGAAACAUCUCAAGAAUCAGAAAUGCAGGUUCAUUUUGCACAACAUUGAGAUAGACACUCUGCAACAAAUAGAUACCCGUAGAUAUCCGAUCCAUCCGAUGAUCCAGAAAACCUCUGAAAGCCAAUCAACAGGGAACACAAAUCCAAGGUCAACCCGAGCUUUCUAAGAACCAACCAGAAGGACUACACUCCCAGUAUGAGAGAACGUUUGGAACUUCGGAAUGGCGAUCACGCCAGUGAUGAUCUCGCCAUAGAAGUACACUAUGUUCUAAGUACUGAAAAGCUCUAACCUUCCGAGAGCUUAGGAUCAUCCGAGAUUCUUUACAAAGAUUGGUCCAACCCUCGUCAGACCACUACUACUUUCGGAAAUUCCACAAGUUUCACCCCAAAACAAUCCACUUCUUAGACUUGAUAAGUGUUUUCCCGACGUCACUCUUUGUAUCCCACUCAUCUUGAUAGAAACCAUUGGGAACCCUGACUUCGUAGACGAACCAGUAGGAAUCGCUAACUGCACGAAUCAAAAUCCGCAUCCCGUAAGUGAAGGUUGUUAGAACGCCAAGCAUAGGCUAGAGUUCACUUGGGAGUGCGAAGACCAACCGAAUAGGAAGUGCCCUCAUACCUCUACCCGAUUGUUCAUGAUUACUUCCUUGCCUAAACCUAAAUUUCGGGACGAAAUUCCCUCUAACGGGGGGAUGAUGUGACAACCCGAAAUUUAUUCCGUCAUUUUAACCACACCUUCCGUUAAUAAAACCCAAUUUAUUAAUUGUCUGUUAACCUUUUGGAAGAGGUUAAUUAAUUUGGGACUUUUAUAAUGACUUUGUAAGGGUUGAAACAAAUUAGAAACACCCUCAAAAAUCCCUUGAAAAGUUUUAGUUUCAACCAAGUCGAAAUAUGACCAUUUAAUCGGGUGCGACCAAAAGCCCCGUUUAACGUCAGUAUCAGGUAGAUUUCCACUGAGCCCCAACUCAAACCCCUAUAUAAGGGUGAGUGGAGUCCAUUUGAGACUUUCCACUCUCUCUCUACACUCUCUCUCUACACUCUCUCUCUACAAGUUGUGUUCGAUCCAAAAACGCCCAUUCCAAGCCCCAAACUAGUAAGUAAUCUAUCCUAACUUGUUGUGUACCUUAGUUAACAUGCAAAUUCGUGUUUAAGACAUUAAAUAGGGGCAAAUUCAUGUGUUUACGGCCUCUUGGACCGUGAACACCCUUAAGUGGGAUGUUUUGAAGCCCCAAAACCCCUCUAAACUACCCCUAGGGCUUAGAUAUGACUUGUGGACUUACACCUUCGAGCUUAGAACACUUAAACCUUGCAUUUUGGAGAGUAAACAUGAGUUUACGGCCCAAGAACACCCUUGGACCGUAAACCCCUCUUCAAGGGCCGUGAACACCCUUUAAGGUGUUAGAAAUGCCCUCAAACACCUCCUAUGGCCUGGGAAAAUGUCUAGAAACAACCCCCAUUGAAGUAAAGGCAUUAAACAUCAAUUAAACCAAGGAUUUAGGAGUUUACGGCCGUAAACCCCCCAAGAAUUGGUCCAUGGGCCAUAAACUCCCCUAAAUAGGCCAAAUGGUGCCGUAACUCCCCUAUAUUGCUUGGAAAAAUGUAUAGAACUUUAUUCUCUACCAUUUAAGACCUUAAUACACCAAAGGAAUGAACAUAUAAGAGCUUACAGCCGUAAACUCCUUGUUUAGGGCUGUAAACUCCUUAAAUGUUCCAUUUUGAGCCUUAAACCCCUUCAUAUGCCUUAUAUUUGGACCUAGCCUAAUUCUAUGAGUGAUAUAAGACCUUAAAGCAUCCAAGAGCACACCAACCAUGAGUUUACAGCCGUAAACUCAUGGGGAUAUGGGCUUAGGGCUGUAAACUCUAUAAAGAGUUUACUCUUGAAGAGUAAACUCCCUAUCUAGGCCAUACACUCCCUUAUUUGCAACCCAAUAGCCCCCUAGCACUUGACCAAAGUGUUUUCCGCACUUUAGGAUGCGUAUACGUGCUUAAUUAGUAUUAUAUUUACUAAUUGUAUGUAAACAUAUGUCUUCAUAUGUUAAUAGGUCACUAAGUGUGUUCAAGUCUUUACUUGACAACGAGCACCCAACCGGCACUUUCGUUCGAUCUACUUACAACAGGUGAGUUCAUACCCCUGAAUUAACCUUUUUAAAUGUUUUUACAUGCUUUUAUGGGGGGGAUACAAGUUAAAACAUGCUAGUUAUAAUGUCAAUCAUAUGUGAUUAAUAACCCGCAUGCACAAGGAUUUAUUAGCCUUUCAGUUGUUUUACCAAGUAUAAUGCUAUAGAUGGUUUUCCAAAACGUCUUUACUUGUUUAAAUAUUUUCUUAAAUUAUCUCUCGUGUUGUAUGUUUUACUUCUAAGCCGGUUACAACAGUGUUUUAAACAAAUGUUUUCUUUACUUAUAUUGUUUUAUCAAAUUAUAUUUUAAACGUGUUUAUGAACGAUUUUCAAACUUGAUUUUCAAACUGACUUCAAGUCGUAAAUUUCUUAUGUGUAAAGGUUUUUCCAAAGUGUUCAUCAAAGUUUUCUUCUAUACUUCUAUACUUCUGCUUCGUUAAAUGCAUGCCUGUACUUGUAUAGUUAUAUAAAUAAUGUUUAAAAGACUUAGGAAGGCUAGUUCCCUCUAUUUGCUUUUCCUCGUUGGGAUGUGGUCUGGUGGGUAUCGGAUAUCUAUCCGAAGGUUGUUUAAACAUUAGUUAUAUAUCAUGUAUACACGUAUAUACAUAAAGGUUUUCAUCGGCCAGUUCAUUUCCCUUGGGUAGCAAGGGCAUACUUCCAUUCAUCAUUCAUAGAUCAGAGACACUAGUAACUAUUAUAGGAAUAGUUAGGAGCCUUUAUUUACUCUUUUUAGUACUAGAAUUCCACAGGAGUCAGUUCAUACGCGAGUCUAUAUCAUUUCUCCAGCGCCUCUAACAAAAUUCAGAAUAUGAGAUGCAUCUUCAAGACAUGGAUCUCCCCGUUGUCGAGUUGGUAACCAGAGUCUCCUAUAGGGAGAGCGGGCAUUGUGUGUAUAGAUCUAUACGGGACUGGCACUCCCGCACCCUGACUGCUAGCUACAGUCCAUGGCCUACCAAUCCAAGGGGUGACAAAUGUCAUAUUUAUUCUGAAGCUUGCAGGGCGUCAAGUACUCUAGUGUCAAUCAGUAUGGUUACGAGUAUCUCCAUGUUUACCUUAUAAUUCAUGGCCUUAAGGUAAUGAGAAUCUAACAUUGUAUUCUUGAAACAACCCACUUAGGAUUUUCCCUUUGUUUUAGACCUUGCUAGCUGUAUCUUUUAUUGGAUACUGUAUGGGGUCUGUGUUUCUCUGAUUUGUAUGGGGUCUGUGUUUCUCUGAUUUAGACCUUGCUAGCCAUAUUGUACAUUUGAUACCGUCUGGGGUAUGUGUUUCCUUUUGUUAGACUGAGCCAGGCGUAUCAUUCAUUCGGUACUCUCCUGGAGUCCAUGAUUUCUUUUGCCUUAGUCAUCAGUAUUUUCUGCUGAGGCAUAUGUUAUUUUCCCUAAUGUUUUUACUAGUGAUAUUCUUCUACUUUCUUUAAAACCAAAUACCGUAUUUUGGUAAUGAUAUCAUUUCAGGGAAAGCUUCUCUUUAAAACAUAACACUGUCAAGUCUUAGUAGAAGACUGCUUUUAAUUAGAAAAUAUAGGAUUUUCUGGAAAUGACGCUAGUACACCGUAAAUUCUAAACUACUGUUUUUUAUAAAGUUAUUUUGAAUAAAAUACUUACUUACACAAAUGACACUAAAUACUUACGAACUCACCAGCAUUUAUAAAAAUGUUGAGACUCCCUUUCAAAAUAACUUGUAUUCUCAGGUCAGCAAUAGACAGGUACACCCGGGAGCUUUUGUGAAGCCAGCCUAGAACCGAGCUGCAUCUAUACUAGUUUAUGUAUUACUUUGAUGUCUCUAUAAACUGUAACUUAUGUAAAACUAUUACUAUUAAUUCAAUGGUUGUUGUACUUUGAUUACUAUACUGCAUAUGUUGUGAUACUUGACAUGACGUCAUCCACCACAGAACGUUUCCGCCGUUCCGGUUUUGGGGUGUGACAAUAACAUAUAUGGAAAAAUCAUUAUUUCAUAAGUAGCUUAAGAAACUCCAUCUUGGCUUCGUCGGUCGUUGGAAACAUAAAAGCUUCACGAUUUUUCUUUUUGGUGAAGACAAACAAUGCUUGUGAAAAAUUAUUGGACCCUUCACGAAAAUUGGGGAACUUGAUGACAAUGGCCAUGCAAUCUGCUAUUGUUGGGGACAUAUUAUUUUGUGGAUAAGUUUGUGUGCUUUUUGAUGAUAUGGCAUCCAAUAAAGCAUCAACUUUUUCUUCAUAAAUUGAAUUUUUAUUCUUGGUUGGACGGUUGUUGGAAACAGACUUAGAACUCUUCCUUUUACUUGAACUACUUUCAUGGAGACUAGUAAAAAGAGGCUCAUCAUCAUCUAAAUUGAUUUUAUCACUAUCUCCUUUGCCCUCCAUAUUUUCUUCAUUUGGAUUGCUAUUGUUUUGAAAUUGUAAUGGAGUCAUAGUCUGAUCUCCAACGGCAACAGAAUCCCGAAACAAAAUAGCAUAUUUCUCAUCAAAUAUGCUUAAAUCUGUGUUCCUAAAUUAGGCAUAAUCUUUAUUCUCCUGCUAGACAAAAAGAUAUUGUAAAUGAAAUAUGUUCAAUCUAUAUGCAAUCAUAACUUAAAAUAAUUAAAAAGAAUAGUAAUCAUACCUUUAUUUUCUCCUCCCACCACUCGGGGGACGCAUCUACUAGGCUUCUCGUCCCACCGAGUCUGGUUUCAAGCCUCAUUAAGCGGUCAUAAAGUUUCCACUCUUUUUUCAUGUUCUCCAAUUUGUUUGUUAGUUGUUUUUUUUUUCAAGGCUAUAACCUGUUUUCUCCUUAAUGUGUUUUUGUAUAUUUCCCCACCCAAUUUUAUCAAAGGAAGAAGUGGGUUUACGGCUUUUUUUUUUCAAUCAAACACGAAUCAAUAAACACCAUGAAGCUACGAUUAUCCCACCCAAAUUUUGGUUUUUUCAUUUUUAAAGAUGUUUCGCAAUCAACAAUUGUAGUGUUGUUUUCAUCCAUUAUCUGUGAAUUACAUACAGUAUCAACAUUUAAGCAACAAACCUAUUUCAUUAACCUUUCUAAAUGAUUUCAUUAAUUUAUCAAAAUUCUAAUCAAAACAUAAAAAAUAGAUUAUCACAGCAUAUCAAUUUCACAAAUCAGUCAUCUGUUAACACAAAUAUCAUCCGUGAACAAAAAAUUUCAUCAGCUUCAUAUUUCAUCAAUUUCACUAAUAUUUCAUAUUUCAUCAAUUUCACAGUUUAACAAAUCAGUCAUCUGUUAAUUCAUUUUUCAUCAAGUUUACAAAAUUUUUGGACUAUUUCACAGCACAUUUACACAUUUCACAGCAUCAAUUUCAGAGGCUAGAGAGAAGAAUCGGGAGGAACAAAUCACUAUUUCACAGCACAUUUACACAUUUCACAGCAUUAAUUUCAGAGGCUAGAGAGAAGAAUAGUUCAAGGAAAAUUCGAAAUCGGGAGGAGCACAUUUCACAGCACAUCAAUUUCACAGCAUAUCAAAUACACAUCAUAUCAAUUUCACAAAUCAGGAGGAACACUUUUCUUUGCUACUAAAAAUCGGAAAUAGACAGGAAGAGAUUGUAACAUCUGAGAUCGGAAGUCGACUGGGAAAGAAAACAAACCUGAUUGCCGGUGUCUCCGGUGUCGUCGGUGGAUGUUGCAGGUCGAGAUGCGAGAGAGAUAUGUGGGUGAGCGGAGAGAACGAGGAGGAAGAGAAGUAAUGAGAUUCGUAUAUGUGAAAUGUGAAUGAAGUUAAUUAGGGUAGAUAAGGGGUAUAUUGGUAGUUUCUAAUUUUUAGCUGGUGAAAAGUUGGGAAAAGUCACGUAAACGUGACUUUUCAAAAAGCUUCAAAUUACUCUAUGGGAAAAGUCACUUACAAAAGUCAUUUUCACCUUACCAAACAUCUUUUUGGACUUUUUCUAAAAGAUAAAGUCAAAAGUCAUUUUAAAAGGCAAGCCAAACACCCCCUAAGACAUAAUCUUCCACUACUAUAAUACUCCUUUUCUCGCCACAUAUUUUCAUUUUCUUUGUUUAGCUUCAAUUUACAUUCAAAACACCUCUAAUACAACUUUAGAUACUCAAUUUACUCAUAUUUCAUGAAUUAAUAAUCUAUAUACUUUCAUUUGACAUAAUAUGAACUUAAUUCAUCAAAACCACUUACUUCAAAUUCUAGGGUUCAUAGCAAUUUCAUCUUCAAAUUCAAGUAAUUAGCUACAAUUACUACUCAAUACACUUGGAAUCAUGUUAUUAUAACUUCUAUUAACUGUUAUACAUCAAAUUUUCAAAAUAGAAAUCAAUUGGUAUAAUUAGGGUUAUCAAACCCCAAACUUGUAUGCCUUAUUCACAAUUACAUCAAAAUUUCAAAAUAUAACUAACUCUUGAUUCUAAAAGUGGUAAGUGAUACUUUGCUAGCUUCCUCUAAAUCUCCCAUUUUAUUUCCUUGAAAAUCCGGUUAAAAUAUUCUUUUCUUCGUGUUUCUCUGCUCUGGAACGAAUAAGUGAGAAAUGAACUUUUAAUAAGUCUCAUAUGUUUUUAUAAGAUUUUUUUACUCAUCAACAACUCUGUGUUGCGGUUCUUCUCUUGUCGCGUCGUGACAUGUAGUACCACGUAUUCUUUUUACCACAUCACUGUUUCUUCUCCAUUUAUGACACUUUGCAAUUUGUUGCUUAAAACUUAGUCAUCAAAGUUAUGUCAUCCUACUUUCAACCGCGUUGCGGUUAACCUUCUUUAUGUUGCGUUAUUUUGAAAGUACAUUGCCUUCAUUGUUUAUUUUAUGUCAACCAUUUUCUCGCCUCCCAAAACACGUUGUCGUCCCUCUUUUGUCGUGUCAUGUUUAUAAUUACAAGAGUUUCCAAUCUUCGAUUUUUUCCAUUUUACCAUGCCUAAAUUUUUUUACUUCUUAACCCAUUAAGAUCUUUGCAUUAAGAACUUAUUUAUCUUAUAACAUAUGUUAAGUUAUACUAUUUCUCUUUUUAUAACAUUAAGAAAUCUACUCAAAAUUUGAGAAUUACACAAAAUGACCAAAAUACCCUUUUUGGUCUAAACAUUGUUAUUAUAACAUCACUUAACUCCUAACACAUACACUUUGACAUUUAACACUCUCAUUACAUUACAAAUUAUAACUUACUCAAAACAACAGGAGUGUCAAACAUACCACCAUAACUACCAUAUCUUGCAUCUCCUCUAGUUACGUUACUUGACAUACACCAUCGACCUUCCUCAAACCUGUUUGGACCCCAUUCUCCCUGAAAUGACGAUUUUGUUGUUCCAUAUCUCAUUGUUCUUCUUUGAGGUCAUUGAACCACCUCUACUUAAAAUUCGAGAGCUACACAAAGUGACCAAAAUACCCUUUUUGGUCUAAGCACUUUUAUUAUAACAUCACUUAACUCCUAACAUAUACACUUUUACAUUGUACACUCUCACUACAUUAUAGAUUAUAACUUAGUUAAAAUAGAAGGAGUGUCACACCUACCACCAUUGACUACCCUAUCUUGCAUCUCAUCUAGUUACGUUACUUGACAUACACCAUCGACCUUCCUUAAACAUGUUUGGCCCUUAUUCUCCCUGAAAUGACGCCUUUGUUGUUGAAAUGAUGCCUUUGUUGUUCCAUAUCUCGUUUUUCUUCUUUGAGGUUAUCGCCCACCCUCACCACCCCCUAUAAUUUAGGGAUAACGAAUAGAGAGUGAUGAAGUUGAUGACACGUAGUAGGAAUUUGGUAAUAAAUCUUUAGGUUUUUGUAAGUGACGAUGCUUCCAUUUUUGUUUCUCCUACUAACCAUUUUUCGAAACACAGAUUGGUGAUGGAUUUGGGCAAGAAUUUCUUUGGGUUUUUGUAAUAGUUUUGCAAUUUGAUAUUAUUAGGCAUCAGACUUUGAUUCUAGUAGGAUUUGUAAUGAUUUUUUUUGGGUUUUAACUACUUUUUUUGUGUGUGUGUUUGUGUGUAAGAUCGACUGUAAAGGGAUUUUUAUUUUUCAAUCAUGGAUGCAAAAUGAAUUUUCUUUUAUUAUAGUUGGAGAGAUUGAAGAUAGAUGAUGAAAAUUGAGGUGGGUAAGUACCGAAAAACCUACUAGCUAAAAAAUGUGGUGGUGAUGGUGAAAGGGGAAAAAGAGAAGGAAAACGAAAGGGUGAGGUGGGUAUAUGUUAUGGUACCAUGUUUUUACAUGAGCCAUGGAUCAACUGUACAAAAAUUGAAGCAACUAAGACUAAUGUGUUAAGAAAAAAAAAUUAGGGACUGAAAAUAUGAAUUUGGUUAAAACCUAGGGACCAUUUACGUAAUUAGGCUAGAAAACUAUAAGGACUAAGUUUGUAAUUUACUAUUCUUUUUCUCAGUUUAGGGAGCCGGUAAGUGAACAAGUAAUCCGCUAGAUCAACCAAGCCAUCAACUUGCUGUUAGGCUGCUGACGUGUCAUCAUAACAUACAAAUCAUCUUGACAUUAAGUACCAGCCGUUGAUUUGCGACUUUGUAGUGGAAGUUUUUUUGCAGGGUCCCCCUUCUUGUAAGGAAACCAAACCAUAAAGAUAAGCGGGUCUGCCCUUAGGGUUUGUUUCCCGACUCCUGUUCCAUUCAUUUCUGUUCUUAACCUUUUAUCUCAAUUCACCUAUCAUUUGAAUUCUUAAAAGAUUUUGGAUCCAAUCACUUUCACUCAUUAGACUCUUAAUAAUUGUUAUUUUGGUGGUUUCUUAGCCAAAAUCGUCGUGGCUGUUUCAUCUAUGGCGUCGAUUGGUAAGACGAAUUAUGAAUCGGAAGCGGAUGAUGCUAAUAACACCGUCAAAAUUUUAUCAACAUCUGAUCCAACGAUGUUGAAGGAAGAGCCGGCGGAUAGCGAGUUGGGGGGAUCGAUACCGGUUGCAAUGGUACCCGUGUCAAUGUCUCAGAAACAAAUGACGGUGGCGCCGCCCCGGAGGAGUUCUAAAGACCGUCAUACGAAGGUGGAGGGACGCGGUCGACGAAUCCGCAUGCCGGCUGCUUGUGCUGCGAGAAUCUUCCAAUUAACUCGGGAACUCGGUCACAAGUCAGACGGAGAGACGAUUCGGUGGUUGUUGGAGCACGCAGAGCCCGCUAUCAUUAAAGCCACCGGCACCGGGACGGUGCCGGCGCUCGCUGUUAAUGUUAACGGGACGUUAAAAAUCCCGACGACGCCAAUCGAAGAAGGAGGUGACGUUAAAAGACGAAAAAGGGCUUGUAACAGCGAGUUUUAUGAUUUGAAUGUUGCCGCAACUUCCAAUUUUGCCCCCAUAGCGCCGAUUGCCCCACGAGCGCUCGUGCCGUUGUGGACCAUGUGUGCACCACCGACUAACGGCGGGACUUUCUUCAUGAUUCCACCGUGUGGGGCCACCGGGGCAACCACAUUCCAUCAGUCCCAGUUGUGGGCCAUACCCACCGGGGUAACACCUGUUUUCAAUGUCCCAUCAAGACCCAUGACUAAUUAUUUGCCGGAAAUGAAACCGGUGGUGGAUAUCAGUGGUGGUGAAGUUCAGACGCCGGCGGUGAGUUCAAGUUCGAUUUCAAUUUCAACGAGGAGAACAGCGGAGGUUGUUAGGGAUCUGUCAUUGGAGCUUGGUGAUAAAAGAGAGCUUCAAUUCAUGGAAGGCUGUUCAAAAGAUCAAACGCCGCCUGCAAGUUAAUCAAUCGGCCAAUUCUAGUCCUCUUCUUUGUUUUAGUUGCGUUAGAACCAUGAAAGUUAUUUUUUUUCUUUAGAUUUGUAUCCUUUUUUGUUUCUCUUUUUCCAUAUUAGCCUCACUUUGUGCUUUUUCUGUGUAAAUGGGUUUUUACUUUUUAGAACAUAAAAGUAGGUAAAAGUGACAUUGUAUGUAUAAUUUUCUGUAAUUAAAUAUUAGUACGAGAAAAUAACUUGUUUACAUGACAUAAAAUUAUAUAAUUAUUUCUAAAGGGCUAUUCAUUACAAUGAAUGAUCUUUUUUCCCCAUUGAUCGCAAAAAGGUUAUUUAUAUCAAUGGAAAAAGUUAACGAAUUAAACGAGAUUUUUUUUUUUUUUAACAUUGGAAGAUUAUUCUUAAUAAAAAUCUUGUUUUUAGGCCAUGAAUAUACUCAAGCUUGUGAUAUUUUCACAAAUAUCAUGUUUUCUGUGAGUUGCUAAUAAAAUUAUUUUUAAAAAUGUAAAUACAAUAAGUAAUAAGUAAUAAGACAAGUGAUACGAUAUAGAUAAGAUAUAUGGUUUCAACGCCUAGAGUGUGUUCAAGUUUCAUUGUUGACUAUACUUUUUGGAUAAUUUUGUUAAGUUUUUGUUUGUUUAUAUUAUUAGGAAAUGUUUAUCUUGGCAAUUUUGAAUGUUUUCAAACUUGUGAACCAUUAGCCUCAGUAAAAAUCUUUUUGUCAUAUAUCACAUUCUUUUUGAUUUUGUCUAAUGUCAUUUUGUGGUUAUUUUCAAUUAAAUCUUUUCCACAUGACAUUUUGAGAUUGUUUUAUUUUUAUUAAAUUUCAUAUAAUAUUUAAUUAAAUGUAUUAAUUGCACUAAAUAUAAUAAUAAAUGCAUAUCAAUUUCAUUAAUUGACUUUUUUUUUUAAUUUUUAAAUUUCUAAAUUAAAACUCAUUUCUUUGUUUAUUUAUCUAAAUUAUUUGCUUAAAUUUAAAAAAGAAAAAAGUAUUUUAAUUUUAAUAAUUCAAUAUAUAUAUAUUUUUCUUAUAAAUUCAAACUUCUAAAAUAUUUAGAAUGUCAUAUUUAAUUUGUUUUUUUAAAUGAACUCAUGUAAUACAUAAGUGUUACACCUAGUUUAUUUAAAAAAAGAACUUAAAUCUCUUUUUAUUUUUUAUUUCUAUUAAUGUUCACACUUAUAUAAAAUACAGACAAUGAAAUUCAUUAAUCAUCUCUUCCUCUUGAUUUAGAGAGUUACCUUAAUUUAUUGAAAAUAAAAAUAAAUAAAAACAAAAGAUAAAAGAUAGAAAGAUAUUUGAUUUUUAAUAAAAAAAAUUGUAUCUGUGGUUUAUUCGCAACAUUAUGGACCUAAAAUUCAUGAGCUUUUUGCACGACAGAUCUUUUGUUUCAAAAAAAAUCACAAAUAUAAGAAAAUAUGACUAGUUAGUUUUUUGUAUAAAAAUUAACAAAAUUCUAAAUAAUGUAAAAAGUGACUUGUCGGGCUAUGUCAAACCUCAAAUUUUUCCGAGCUUUGACGAGUCACAUCAUUUGUAAGGUGUUACUUAAAACGACAAUUUUGUAUAUAAUUAAUAUUUUAUAUGUAUUUUUAACUAUUAUUCUAUUUUAUAUACAUAUAUGAGAUAAAACGGCGUUUUGGUAAAACUUGAUGACAGAUAUAAGCCUUAGAAUCAUGGCGCGCCAUGGCGGAGUCAUUGCGAGCUUUAUAGAACCUUGAAAAUUAACGACCUAUUUAACAUUUCAUUCAUAAUAACACAUCUUAAUUAUUUUAAUAUAUUAUGUGUCAAAUAGUUUUUGCAUAUAAGACCGGUUGAAGUUGCUACGACCUCUAUCGUACCUCUGAUAUCACAUAAGCACGAACACUGCCCCCUUGACUGCGGUUAGGACGCGGCUAAGGCCGCACUAUGGUAUCUAUGGGAGCGCCCCUUCCUAUGUUUUCCAAACUUAAUGACCGUUGAACGGUCGAAAUUUUUUAAGAUUUAUUUAUUUAUUUAUUUUCCUUUUUAACCUUUACACACUCCUAUUUAAACAGCUCAUACCUUAUAAAUUUUUAACCAAACAAACUCACAAAUACUUCAUAUUUUAUCAUCUUUUUGUUUCCAAAACCUUUGAAAAUGUCAUCCUCCAAAAAAACAUACCAAAUAAAAAACUCCUACUAGAAACCCCACAACCUCAAGACCUUCAAGCGAUCAUCUGAUUUAUUGCCCACUUUUUACCAAUAUGACAGUAUGUUUCCAUAUUAUCCACAAACACAAGCACAACUCGACCCAGAUUUUGAUCAUUUUGAUUUUGAUUCUCAACCGGAGUUUGUUUCACAAAUACAACCCGAUUUUUUUCCCCAAACACAAUUAUAACCACACCAUUUCUGAAUCUGAACCCGGAUUUGUUCAACAAAACAACCCGCUCAACCAUAAAAAUAAAAGAAAAUAAAAGGCCGAAGUUAAAAUGUGGGAACCCCAAGAAGUGUUAGUAUUGACACAAUCAUGGAUUGACUUAUUAGAAUACGUGAUGACGAGAGCAGAGCAAAAACAUGACAGUUUUUAGAUGUGCGUUAGAGAUAAGUUACACAAAGGAAUGAACAUAUACCUAUAUCGCUCUAAACAUCAAGUCUACUCGAAAUGGAGAAAGAUGAACAAAGAAAUCAUGUUGUUUAACAGUUUGUAUAAUAACAUGAAACGACAAUGGAAAAUUGGCGAAAGUGAUGAUGUGAUUUUGGAAAAUGCUUUUAGCAUUUACCAAAAAGAGCAAAACAUGACUUUCAAGUUUUAUGAACUUUGGAAUCUACUCAAAGGCAACAAAAAUGUCAAAAUCAAAAAACAAUCGACGAGCACAUCGAUAAUGGCUCAAAACAGUCAAGAACUUUCGAAUCCGAUCACACUACAUCGGAUGCUCGUGUAGCUUACGACCUCAACGAUGAUGAACCCAUUCAAGUGUCACACCCUCCUGACCGAUGGUAAGGGACAAAGCAAAAAAAACAAAGGCAAGGGCAAAGCGUCGGGGUCGGAUGAAUUGAAAGAAAUGGGUGACAAUGUGCAAGGCAUAAAAGAUCGAAUUGAUGAAUUUUUGCAAUUUGUUUCGGAUAGAGAGGCUCAGAAACAAAUGGACAACGACAUGAGGGUGCUAGCGAUGGACACGUUGAAUAUGACGAUGGAUGAGCUUCAAGUUGUUUUGGCGAUGAAAGAAGACGUCAAAAAACGUUAUGUUAAUCAUUUGAUGUGUGUGUUUUUAUUUAUUUAUUUUUAAGUUGUAGGUUUAAUAUUUCUAGUUUGUUUUUUCUAAACUUUUAGUUUUUUUUUUAAGUUAUGCAAUGUAAUGGUACUUUUAUAUAUAUAUAUAUAUAUAUAUUAAAUAAGUUUUUAUUUAUUAAAUAAAAAAAUCAAAUGUGACAACAAACUACACUUUAUUAUAAAAACAUACAUGACACCUAUAUGACAAUAUGGUUUCAUAAAGAAGUGUGAGGCCAUUCCUUCUCCCUAACAUUUAAUUAAAUUUCAUUUUUAAUUAAUUUACUUGACUUCAAAGGCAACUUAAAGGCCAAAAACUUAAGAGCAAGAAGUUAGUAAAUAUGUGGAAGAUGGGUUCCACUAUGGACCAUGGAGUGAAGGUCACCAGUAAUUAAUGCGCCCUUCUUCCGCGUGUGAAUGCUUUGCUUUGAGCUGCGUGCUUUAGGCACGUGAUGGUUUGGUUUAACACGUGCAGGGGUGGGUCUCGUGGGUCCCGAUGGAGUAACAGUGGGACCAUGUCACUGAGAUGCUGUGCGGGUGCGUAUUUAGCCCCACAUUAAUUUCUAUGCGGACCCCUACAUGAGUACAUGCUACAUGUGGUGCUUUUAAACUUUUUUUUAUUAAAAUAAAAGACGUGUACAUGGGUAUAUUCUUUGAAUAUUACAUUAGAUAUAAUUAUUUCAUAAUUAAUUGUAACAUAAUGAAUUGCAUAAAAGAUUAUGUUUAUAUAUAAUUUUACGAGCAAUUUCAAAAAUAAUCGAAACACUAACUCUGUGCCAAAAAAUUAUCAAAAGAAAAAAAUGUUUUUCAAAAAUUAACAAUCUACUUACUCUAACAUCUGUCAUGUUCUUUAUAGAUUGGUCUUUAAUUCAAAUACUCAUGAUAUUUUUGUAAUUUUACCUUAGCACAUAGUAAGUUGCUUGAGUUUACACUACCCCAGCUUCUGACUGGCAUACAUUUUAUGAA